UAUCUUGCAGGGUAUUGACCAAGUUGAUUUGGAAACUGUGGCUGCUGUUGAGAUUGCUGAGAUUGUAUUUGCAUCGGUUGUUGAGGUUGGUGUUGAGGUCGAUGCUGAGACUGUAUUUGCAACUGCGGUUGUGGUUGACGCUGUAAAUGUGGAUAUUGUUGAGGCUGAUAUUGUGAUAGUUGGGGUUCAUUAUGUUGGUGAGGGCUAUAAUGAUGGUGUUGAUUCUGCAGCUGUGACUGAGGUAGCUCAGAUUGGGGUUGUCGGUUAUGCUGAUGCAGCACUUGCUCAGAUUCAUAAUGUGCAUGCACUUGUUGAGAUGAGGGUGGAGUUGUGGAUUGAGGAUGGGGUUGAUAAAUAUGUUGUGGAUUCUGGGAUUGAUACGUCUGUUGCGGAAGCUGGGUUUGAAACUCUGACUUAGGUUGUGGUUGCUGAGCCCAAGGGGCUACAUAACUGUUGAAUGGCAAACUUCCAGGAUAUGUUUGGGGAGAAUGAGAAUAACCAUCUGCGCUGGAUGGAACAGGUAUCUGAUGCAUACCCACUUGACUAGGGGCUGAUGAUGGUGCAUAUGUUGCGGUUGAUGAAGAAGAUGGUACCAGGGACAAAGUGAUACUCAGUAAGUCAAUGAUGUCCUGAUCUUUUGAAGAAGUACUAAUAGGUGCUGGCGGGUCUGGAAGAGCUAAUGCAUUGGAUGGUACAGAAGUUGAGGACUCUGGCACAUAUGGAGUUGUGCUGCUAGUGUUCAAUAACCCUAAAUUUUCACUAGAUCCUACAGUAGAAUCUUUAGAAGUCACUGAUUGUAUCUUAGAAUGCCUGCAGUAGUGAAAAGUUCAAACAAAUUAACUGAUUAAAACAUGAAUCAUGCCAACAAGUGCCCUAAGGGCGUAGUUUGAGCAAUCCAUAAACGGAAUUUUUAUCUUGGAAAUACAGGUCAAACACUUGUGGAAGCAAUAUAUACAUCUUUGUCUGUGCAAGAGAUACUUCUUUUGAUUAUUAAACAAUGUUGUAAUUGCAGUUGUUAUCUGUUAGAUAGUAGGAUUGUAAGGGUCUUGCUAGUUAAUAGGAGGCAGUUUUAUUAUUAAUAGGCAGUUUUUAGUAAAGAUAACUGCCAUAUGUAACUGCAGUAACCGUCAUAACUGCAGUUUUAGAAAAGAAACUAAUUAAUUAGGAUAAUGAGAGUGUUACCUAAAAAUAGAGGAGGCGAUUGAGAGAGGUUAUCUGGGAAUUUGAUUGGAAAGGGGCCAUUUUGGCAUUGGGGAGGUGCAGACCCUCGAAGUUCUGCGAUUAUUAUUUUGUAACCAAAGGGAUUUUUCCUAUUUACUUUUCUAUAUCAGUUGGUUUCUAUCAACUGAUAUCAGAGCCAAAGGGAACAUAAAACUAAUACUAUCAUCAACUUUCUUAAUUCUUGUGAUUUAGCAACAGUGCUAUAUAAAGGGACAAGGAAGUAGGAUAGAAUGAAAUCGAAUGUGGUUUAAAUCAAAUAAACAAAAGAAACACUUCAUGCUAAGAUACCUAUUUCAGCUGAACAAAACAAUUAAAUAAUUCACUCAAUCAUGCAAAUCCGCACAUGAAUAUAUACCAAAAUGCAUGUUGUGGAAGACAUACUAAAACUAUUUAUGCUAUUUGAUGUUAGUCAUGUUACACUUCCUAAUUUCAUAUGAAAAGUACAACGGAAAGAAAAUUGUUUCCAGAACCAUUAGCACUAAAAUAUCAAUUUAAGAUAAAUUAUCAGUUUUAAGAUACCUUCUAGCUAUCUGUGCAAAUUCAUCUUCUUCCUCUUCAUCACUCUCAACCCUUGUCUCGGAAUAAACAGCAGCAGAAGGGCUAGCUUUAGGUGUUGAAACAGACUCCGGAGGGCUAGAGCUCUUCACUUCAUUUUGAUUGACACUUUCAGGUGACACCGGAGUACUAGAACUGGGACUUGCACCGUGAAUUGGAAAAGAUGUACCAGAAGCAAUUGCAUCAUGCCUCGCAAGCAAACUUUGAAUAUUAUCAUUCAGUUCAAGGCCCCGUCCAAGAAGUUCUUCAUCCCUAUAGCAUAACCAAGAUGAUAAAAUUAUAUUAUCCCACAAAUCCUAUAGAUACACAAUUAUAUUUAGGUGUUCACGACAUGAUAUAACCGGUUUAAUGGAACUAACCCAGUUGUUGUCAGCAAAUGCAUCAAUUUUUUCUGGUUGGUGCGACAACGAUCAACAAGAUCAGCAAUUACUUCGUCUUUUACAGCCUGUAGAGCGCAAAAAGAUAACACUUAAACCAAUUUUCUUAGUUGCAAAGAGGAUUUAUGAACGACAACAACACUGUUUAACUUACCUCACGGUCAUUAGGAUUUACAGCUUGUAGCAUGUCACUCAAAAGGUCCAACACAUGUCGCAUGGAUUCCAAGCUUGACAUACUAAGUAUUUGAAGAGAAAAGUUAGCCAAAAGACGAAGUCAGACAUGCAGAAGCUCAGUGACACAAAAGACAGCAGCAGCAAAAAACAAAGUUUCACCUCAAACUUUCAAUCUCUGUUGCCAUUGUUUCAUCAAGUGUUUUUGAAGAGCUGCUUGGCAUCCCAUAUCCAGGUUGUGUAUUUCUUAUUGAUGGAUGAGUAGGAGGUGGGGUAAAUAUUGGAGCUGCGUCUGCUGAACGGGGCGGAAAAGAAACUCCAGAUCGCUGCCAUUUAUAAGAUCCAACACAAUAAUUCGAUGAUAAGAUCUAACAAUCAUUGAUUUAUAAUGUGUAAUUAUGGUUUACACACAUUAAUGCAAUUUCAAUCAGAAUUCAACGUAAUUUUGCAAUAAAAAGGAGGGAUAGUUCUGCACAAUUAGGUUAUGAGGGAAUAUUAGGGCAUGUUUGGUUCGAGAAACAUAUUCUAUGCCAUUGUGUUUUAAAAGUAUUUCUCUGUUUUUUUUUGUAAAGGAGACAGUACAUAAAAUUUAAAACAGAAAACAAGGUGGCAUUUCGGUAAUUGAAAUUGAAAAUAGAAACUGUUUUCUGAAACAAAACAGGCAUUUAGAAUACAUCCAGUGUAACUAUUUGUGCAAAGAGAAUUGAAAAUAACAAACUAGAUUUGUAUACAAAACAACUAUGCAAUUAUUGAGGUUCCAAAUUAAGCUAUAAAAUACAAAUUUGAACAAAAAAUAUCAUAACAUUUGUUUUCUAAAAAUCUGUUCAAGUGAAAUGUACAAACAAAAUAGCAUAACUAUCAUUUUAAAGAAACUCCGUGGAUAUUAAGUGAAUAACUAUUUUGGUAAUCUAGCAUCCCACUUUAUGCUUGAAGCAAUCUAGAUAUAUUGGAUAAAAGACAAUUGAGAAAUAUUAUUGAGUAGACAGUUGUAUAUUAACCUUUAAUUCCUCAUAUGCCCAAUAGUAUUGGGGAUAUUUUCCACCAGCCCCUCCGAAUGCCUCUUGCCACGAGUCCAGCAGUAUUAAAAUUUUAUCCCUCACUUGCAUGUUUGUCUAAAUUAUCAAUUCAUACAUAAAUGUUAUAGAUGAGACAACCCACGAGAAUAUAAAAUUUUAAAUAGAUCACAAUAGUUAUCAAACAUAUAUAAAGUACCAUGACAUCUGCAAAGCAUCAGUACUCUGACAAAUUUGGAUAGGUAAAUACCAUUCAUAUUUAGGUUGACUAAUUAAACAUAAGGGCGCCAAUUUAACAUUGUAAUAUAAGGGAUUGCAUGAGAAAUCUAAACUAGGCUGUAAACAGUAUAAGAUACAGGUCAUUAAUGAUGUAUUGGAGUGGCGCAUCAAACUUGAUUUGGACAUUAAUUGAACAAGGCACUGGGUGCUACUAAACAACAACACCAUCAAAUGCCAUAUUAAUGAAAUAAAUAACUCAUAAUGUUUGCAUUGAACUUUGGUACUAAACGGCCUAAUAGGGACAUUUUCCAAAACAGUCCAACUCUGCCGCACAACAGUUCAGCGGAGAGAAACAAAAAUGAUUUCCACUAUCGUUAAGAGUUGCAGGUGUGUAUCAUCGUCAAUAUGAGCCUUGAUUACCAUCCCCUCUUGUCAAUGUUAUCUAAAUUUCUCUUGCUAAAUGUUUUUACUUUCACAGAUAUAAAAAUUAUGGAUAACAGAAAGAAUGCCAAAGGUGGAAUGAUAAAUGCAAGAUUUGAAGGCUGAAGAAAACUCCAUGUUUGAGUAAUUAUAUCAAAAAAAAAAACAUUACUAAUUGAUACUAAGUAUGAAGAAUAGAACAACAAAUUGUUGAGCAUCAACGUACAAAUUAAAACAUACUACAUCUCAAGUUUUCAAUCACCACAAUCAUACCUUCUUCCUAACAAUCUUUAUCAUCUCCUCCAGUACGUUCCUAUCGGUGAUUUGAAAGUGCACAUAUUCACCACAGUUCUUCACCAUUGUCUCCAGAAGCUAAUCAAUAGACAACAAGAAACCAUAAAUCAUGUUUCAAACAUGACUUCAGAAUUUAAGUAUAGAAGGAAACACCCACAAAAAGAAAACUUGAGGUAAAUAAACAAGAGUUAGACCCAAAACCAUUGCCAAGAAAGUACCGUGAGAGCUAGUAUUUGAACUUUAGAGCUCUUAUGUUGUAUUCUCUUCUUCACAGCUUUAACCACGUCUUUUGGCUGCCUGAAAAAUUAACACCACCAAAUAUUCAGUUAAAAAAAACCACUGUAAAUUUCCCAAUUAACUAGUUCUUUAAAGUAAAAAUAAAAAUAAAAAGCAAAAACCAAGUUGACAUACUAAUUUGUACUAAAAUCUACUAAACAUGGUUUUUACAAGAAAAUUUUAAACUAGUGAAAUUAUUUUCACACACUGAGAGCUACAAUUGUGCAUGAAAAAAAUAUAAAACACUAAUCAUUAUUUUUUUGAAUAAAAAAUUGGAAAAAAGUACACUUGAUUAACUCAUUAACCCUCUUGAUUAAUUCUUCAGAAAAACACCAUAAUAUAAAAUAUCCUCAACAACAACCCAAAUUAAAAAUAAAUAAAUAAAUAAAAACCUAAAAAUUUCACCUUUUCCCCCCCAAAUUUCAUUAUCAUAACAAAAAGCACAAAAUCACAAGCAUGUAGAUGAUGAUUAAAGUCAACCCAACCCCUUGAAAACCAAAAAAAAAACUCUAGAAAUAGAUAUGCUAUAUAAAUUUUUCACGUUUGCUUAUAGUUGAAGAAUUUACCAAUGAUUAGAAUUGAUGGAAUCACAAAUUUCGAUGUUCAUGGUCCAAUCAGGCCCCAUAAGAAGAUCGCUAGUUGCUUUCUCUACUGCGACAGUAGCUGAAGAAGAAGAACCAGCCAUCAUAUUUUCCCCUCUCUGAACAACGAAUAAUCGCUUCCCGAAUAAUCGAUUCUCGAUCAAUAACCCUAAACUCAAAAGAAGAAAAUUUAUCAACAAAAAAACUCCUCUGAAAUUACGAAACCCUAGCGCAAUUCAUGAACGAAACGGAACAAAUCAAUAAUCAUGAGAAUUCGAAAAGUCGUCGCUUUUAAUUUAUUUAUUAUUUUAUUUUUACGAUAUGAGGUAAAGUGGAUUCGGCGAAAUUUUGUUUUAUGGAAAUAAUUUUUGUUGAAAGGAAAAAAGAAAUUCGCGGAAAAUUCGUAAUAUUCGUUUAUUUAUUUGGCUGAAAGGAACUUGCGAUAAUUGGGCGGUGUUUUGAGACGCACUCGCUCUUUAUGCGUGUCUUAUUCAACGCGCCACGUGGCAGACUUGCAUGGAGAGAAAUUUUUGAAUUUGGUUUUCUUUGAUGCUAUUCGUCAUCAUAACUGUAUUCUGAAUAGGAUCUUGGUGUUGCUAUGUGAAGGAUGAGCUUUUCUUUCUCUCUUUUUUUAAUGAAGAAUUCAAUUAAUAUAAAAUUAAUCAUAAUUCUCGGAUCUUAAAUUAUAUUUAACAAUUAUUUAAUUAUAUUUGAAAUAAAUAAUAAAUAAAGAGAAAAAAAUUGUUAACACCUAAUAUUGCAUUAUUAUAAUAUUUAUAUGUUAAUUCAUCUUUAUUACUAUUAAGAACAUCAUUUAUCAAUAAAAAAGAUUAAAUAGUUUGACUCUACAAAAAAAAUGUGUAUCUUGAUAGUAGAUGUUUGAGACAUAUGACAGGUGACAUAUCUCUAUUCAUUGACUUUGUGUCAAAAAAGAAGGGGUUCGUCACUUAUGGAGAUAAUAAUAAAGGAGUUAUACUUGAAAACGGUAGUGUGGGUAAUCUUUCAUCUACUACUAUAUUCGAUUUUAUGGUAGUUGAUGGUCUUAAACAUAACCUUCUUAGCAUUAGUCAAUUUUAUGACAAGGGAUUUAAAGUUACUUUUACAAAUUUUUAUUGCUUAUUUGAACAUAAUGAGAAGAAGGAUUGCAUGUUUAAAGACUUGAGAAUUAAUAAUACAUAUAUACUUAACUUAGAUGAUGUAUCAUUGAUUGGAAUUAAGUGUCUUGCUACCAUGAGCGAAAACUCUUGGUUUUGGCAUAGACGUUUAGCUCACAUCAACUUUGAUUAAAUAAACAAAGUAACCUCAAAAGAUUUAGUAAUCGGUCUACCAAAAAUGAAGUUCACAAAAGACCAUUUAUGUGAAGUGAGUCAAAUGGGGAAGCAAACGAGGGUGUCAUUUAAAUCGAAAAAUAUAGUUUCAACCUCGAGACUGCUUGAGCUUCUUCAUUUGGACUUUUUUGGUCCCUUAAGGACCAAAAGCAUAGGUGGUAACUAUUAUGGCUUUCUGAUUGUCGAUGAUUACUCUAGAUUUUGUUGGGUUAUGUUUUUGUAUAGUAGAGAUGAGACACAUCCGACUUUCAAACAAUUUUCUAUAUUGUUUCAAAACAAGAUUAACUUGAAAAUUAUUUCCAUCUAAAGUGAUCAUGGAAGAAAAUUUGAAAACCUACUCUUUGAGAAGUAUUGUGAAAAAUAUGGCAUUAAGCAUAACUUUUCCUCCCCUAGAACUCCACAACAAAAUGGGAUUGUGGAGCGCAAAAAUCGCAUUUUAGAGGAGUUAGCAAGGACUAUGCUUAAUGAAAGCAAUUUACCAAAGUAUUUUUGGGUUGAUGCAAUUAGCACGACAUGUUAUGUCUUGAAUAGGAUUCUAGUACGUUCUAUUCUAGAUAAAACACCCUAUGAACUACUUAGAGAUAGAAAACCGAAUGUUUCUCAUCUUCAGGUUUUUUGAUGUGAAUGCUUCAUUUUGAACAAUGGAAAGGAUAAUCUUGGCAAAUUCGAUUCGAAAGUUGAUGAGGGUAUCUUCCUUAGAUACAUACAAUAUAGUAAAGCUUAUAGGGUUUAUAACAAAAGGCUACUUGUUAUUGAAGAGUCGGUUCACGUUAUUUUUUAUGAGUCUUUUCCAAAAAAAAAACGUUGGGAUGAGUGUUAUUUUUCAUGAUGUAUGUGUGUUUUCACAAGAUAUUCUCAAGGAGCCCGACGAUGGAAUUGAUCAACCUAAAGCGGUGGAAAAUGAGAAAGUUGAAGAUGAUGAUUGUGAAGAGGAAAAGGUGGAAAGUCCAGAUACAUUGGAUAACUUUCCUUUGACUUGGAGAACAUCCAAAUAUCAUCAUAUUGACAACAUACUUGAAGACAUCACCAAAGUCGUGACAACACGCUCCAAGAUAAGUAACUUUUGUUAUCAUUUUGCGUUUGUUUCACAGGUUGAACCUAAAGAUGCUAAAUAUGCAUUACUUGAUGAGCAUUGGCUUAUGGCCGUGUAAGAUGAACUAAACCAAUUUAAAAUAAAUGAUGUAUAAGAGCUUGUCCUCCGUCCAAAACAUCAUAAAGUAAUUGGCACAAUAUGGGUUUUUAGAAACAAGCUUGACAAAAAUGGAGUGAUAACACGGAACAAAUCCCUGCUAGUGGCUCAAGGUUAUAAUCAAGAGGAGGGCAUUGACUAUGAGGAGACUUAUGAUUUGGUCGCUCGCCUCAAGGCUGUACACCUUCUACUAGCAUAUGUUUGCUCCAAGAAUUUCAAGUUAUUUCAGAUGGACGUGAAAAGUGCUUUCUAAAUGGUUAUAUUAAUGAAGAGGUGUAUGUAGCUCAACCUCCCGGUUUUGAAAAUCACGAGUAUCCCAAUCACGUAUUCAAAUUAAAACGCACUUUGUAUGGUCUCAAACAAGCACCUAAAGCUUGGUAUGAGCGACGUAGUAAGUUUUUUAUUAAUCAAGGUACUCAAUGGGGAAAGUAGAUACUACUCUUUUUAUUAAGUGUCGUGGAAAUGAUACUCUUCUUGUUCAAGUUUAUGUCAAUGAUAUCAUUUUUGGAUCAACUAAUAUGCAACUUGUCAAAGAGUUUUCUAAGAUUAUGCAGGAUGAGUUUGAGAUGAGCCUAAUGGGGGAGUUGAAUUACUUCCUAUGACUUCAAAUCAAACAACUUAAUGAAGGCAAAUCCGUUUGUCAAAUCAAGUAUUACAAUGACUUUCUAAAGAGAUUUGGCAUGGAAGAUGCAAAAUCGAUUGACACUCUGAUGCCUACAAAUGGUAACUUGGAAAGGAAUGAAAAUGGUAAGGAUGUUGGUCUGAAAAAGUAUAGAGCUAUGAUUGGUUCUCUUAUAUAUCUCACUGCAUCUAGGCAUGAUAUUAUGUUUAGCGUCUGUAUGUGUGUCCGUUAUCAAUCGACUCCCAAGGAAUCACAUUUAAAAGCCGUUAAACGCAUUCUUAGGUACUUGUAUGGUACUUCUAAGUAUAGGCUUUGGUAUUCCAAGGGAAGUGAUUGUAAUUUAGUUAGGUAUACCGAUUAUGAUUUUGUCGGUUGCAAAUUGGAUAGGAAGAGUACUAGUGGAACUUGCCACAUGUUUUCAAAUUCUUUAGUUAGUUGGCAUAAUAAGAAAUAGGUUUUUGUUACUUUGUCAACUGCUGAGGCGGAAUACAUAGCAGCCGAUAAUUGUUGUGCUCAAAUUUUGAUGCUUAAACAACAACUAAUUGAUUUUGAUAUUAAACUACAAUGUAUUCCUAUUAUGUGUGUGCUAGUGCCAUUAAUCUAACCAAAAACUCGGUGUUACAUUCUCGCAUUAAGCAUAUUGAGAUUCGCCACCACUUCAUACACAAUCAUGUUGAGAAAGGCGAUGUCGUGUUUGAGCAUGUUGAUAGUAAAAAUCAACUUGCGGAUAUUUUUACAAAACCACUUACGACCAAACCAUUUUUCAACAUUUGAAUGGAAUUUGGGAUUCUUGACAUCUCAAAUAUUAUCUAAAUAUGAUUUGUCGUAUGCGUGUGUAUGUGUGUGUGCGCGUGCAUGUAUGUGUGUGUAUGUGUGUAUGUGUGUGUGUGUGUGUGUGUGUGUGUGUGAUCGCGACUAAUGUGUAUGUCGGAUAAUAACUGCAAGUAUACAGUUUAUCGCGUAGUUUUAAAAUAUUGUCGAAUCCAUAGAGACUAAUAAUCAAACUAAUGUUAUAUAUCGUUGCAAUUGCAAAGAUAAGGCUAAAAGUUAAAAGGAUAUGGACGAAAAUAUAAACGCUAAUUGCUAGAGGUUUGAAAAUGGUGAUGAAUCGAGCCCGAAAUAUGGAUUUUGUGUUCCUAAGGGACUUUGUAUAAUUCAGGUGCUAAUUACUAUUAGAUUAAGUUUCGUAGAAAAUAUUGAUUUAAAGACUCUGUCUCACACUCUCGCGCUAUUGACUAAAACCACACCUCCUAACCACAGGAUUUUGCUCUCGCUCGCCCGUUUCAAUUAGAAAGCGUAUUUCGAAAACCAAUGAGGUACUAAACGAUGCCUAAAUCGCUCUCGUUGUUUUUAGGAUCGAUGCCUAGUUUCCACUAUUCAGUUCCUUAUUCACACUCUCGCACUAUCGGUUUGAACCUUAGUUUAUUCUUCACUCUCGUAUCAAAACAAUGAAACAUACAAUUGGAAACUAAAACCAAAACAGAAUUUAAUCACAAUUUCGCGCCUAUUAUUUCUACCGAGUCCCUUCGGUAACGACAGUCCUCAUACGCCGGACUCAGACAAAAUUAGCAAGACAUAAUUAUAAUUAGAAAUAACAUGAUCAAAGCAAUUAUAUUUAAAACUAACAUAUCAUAUAAUAUAGAAACGACAAUAACAAGCAUAUAUAAUAAAAUGGUAAAAACCUAAAAUUAAAGAAACGAAGACUUGAAUUGAAAUGAAAAUGCUGGCAGGCUUGUUCUUGAUCCAAGAGUACAAUACAAAUAAAAUGAAAACAAGUGUGACAAUCCCUCAAUGUGAGUUAUUGUCACUUUUACAGGUGAAUUUAUGCCUAAAACUAUGAAGUAAAUUCGACAGAGCUUCCGCACAACUUGGAUGCCUUUGAAACACCUCGAGGAGUCCUAUUAUAGAGGUCCCCCCUUGUAACAUCCCUUGGUCGUGCCAACAAAGUGGAGGGAAAAGAAAGUGGGAAAAACAGUUGAGAAUCUGCUCCCACAUAGAAAACUACUUUUGCAUGAUAACGAUGAAUGUCAUUAGGGCAAUGGUGAAUGCCAUUGCCUCGAUCAUUAAAUGAGGUGGCAUGUCUGGACAAUGGCGAAUGCCAUAUGCACACUGUGGACGCCAUAUCAGUAAAAUGGGCAAAAUCUUGUUCUUUUGCUACUCUUUUGCUCCUUUUCCAAUUUGCUUUCGAAUCUGCACCGAAUCUAGCUGACAACGGCAAAACGAGUAAAAAUGAACUAAAAGGUGAUAAAACAUAUUGAAAUAAAUACGAAUAACAUGUGACAUAAGCCUAAAAAUAUGAUACAAUUUCUCAUUAUCAAACUCUCACACACUUAGAUUGUUGCUUGUCCUCAAGCAAUCACCCAAUGCAAAUGAUAAACAAUUAAGUACAGUGUCUGAGACAUAGGCACGACAAAACUCUAAAAAGUAGGAGGCUUCUGGGCUAGUGUUAAAUAGAUAGGUACUAGAUAUCGACAAUAAGGAUACCAUAAUGACACAUAUUUUCAUUACACAGACAACCCCCCCAAUGCAAAACCAAUUUGAAUCAUGCCAUUAUAACUCGACUUACACUCUUUGUUAUUUUUCACCUCUUUUUCAUUCUAGUGCAAUCACAUUAAGCAUGUUAUCUGUACACAUUCAUGGCAGGCGAACCUGUUAGUGACUAUGAUCUCGUUUUCAAAAAAAAAUCUCCACUUACUUUGGAAAUUUGCUUAAGCAUCAACUGAAUUUGUAAGAGUUUGUACAAUUGGGCUAAAUGAUUGGGUGAGGAUCACCUAAUUUAGAAGGGACAUAUCUUAUCACAAUUUUUUUAAAAAAAUCGUUUUAAUCCUGAGAUCAUAGACUUAUUUACAUCAGCUUCCUUACUCAAUGUAUGCUUAGGAUGGUGUUGAGUGCUUAAAUAAACUACUUAAGAGGCUACUUCAAAAACUUAGAAUUUAAGGUCUCGGCAUAAUGGUUAUUCAAAUUGAUGUCACAUACUUAGGGAGUUUAGGGUUUUAGGACGGUACCGAUAUUAUUGAAACUUUCCCAAGUCUAUUUAACAAAGCCUAAGAAUGAGAAACAACUUAUACUCUCGAGGUGUCAUGCCAUUGAAUCAAAACAAUUUUUUUUAUUGGGGGUCAAAUCUAAGGGAAUUUUCCAACAAGGGAAAAGAAUAUCAUGUAAUAUGACUCAACAUCACAUGUAUGGCUCGAUUAAACAUAUAAGCAACCAAGAAAAAUAACUUAAACUAAAAGAAACUAACUAGAAAAAUAGUAAAAAAAUAAAAAAAAAAUAAAGCGGGAAAGCUCCUCCCCUACACUUGAACCAAACAUUGUCCCCAAUGUUUCAGUGCAAGGUGGAAAAGGGGAUAGAUAAAACCUGGUAGGUGGCUCAGUGAUGCCGGUUGCGGCCUCUAUGACGUCCAAUACCACCUCUGUCGUACACAGGGUGUGGUACAUGUUGCAUAUACUCCCUCAUAUUUGAUACUUCCAUGCACACUCCGUUCAUUUGCCCAGUGAGGUCACCCGUGUUGAGCUCGGUCCUCUCAACAAAGUCAAGUUAAGUCUCUCUGAUCUGAUCAAUGGUGACCCAUAUCUCCUCUUACUGCCUCUGUAUACUCCUAAGUAACAUGUCACGAUCCGUAUCAAUAUCAUUCUGAUGUCUAAGCUCACUCAGGAUAUCAUCAAGAGUUGUCUUCAUAGCAGUGUAGUCGCACUCCACGCGGGGCUGAUAUCCGGAUGAGGUACCUGCAAAAGAGUCAGGAAAAUCAUAUGUGGUGUGUGCAUGGGUGCCAAUAUGGGGAGCAUCUUGUGUUAGACGAUAGUACCGAUCUAGAAGGGGGAUGAAUAGAUCAGGCAUUUAAAAAUUUAGCACUUUUUAAAAUUGUUUUUAAAGGUUGCGAAAGCUCCCUAGACCACGAUCGUCUAAAUGAUCCGUUACUGGAAAUAUCAGAUAUGCGUAAAACCUAAUGGAAUGACUAAGAUAUAGCUAAUCAAUAGAAAUCUUAAUCAAUCGAUCAACUACACAAAUCCUUGAUAUAACUACCACCAAUGAUGAAUUAAAACAAUGAGAAAACAAGCAAAAUGUUGAUAAACUUAUGUGAAGUUAAUUUUAGCAAGCACUUGGUGUGCACACUACACCAAGUCUUAAUUUCACUUGAAUUGAUUGUGCAUAAUUUUCCUUAGUUACAACCAAAGUGAUUGCAAUAAUUGAUCCAACAAAUUUAAUGCACAACAAUUAAGUGAGAUGAAGUUACCAAUUAGUUUCGCAUAAGAUUCAAUUUAUGCAGAAAUUAAAGAGUUAGAGAAAGAGAGAACAACGCCAAAUUUGUUUAAGCAAUUCUCAUUUCGUCCUCGCUUCGGGUACGUCUGCCCCCAAUUCUAAAACUAGAAUUUAGAUAUUUAUUAUCAAUUGAAAAGUUUAUACAAGAUAAGAAAUAAUCACCACCAAGCAAACCUAAGUAUUGUUGUAGAUCUUAUUCACUUCUCUCCCCUUGAUUCAAUUUGAACCAAGUGCUUCAAACAUUCUGAACAAACCUCUUAUUGUAGCUACCUUAUUGCAAGAACUCCAAGUUCUCCAAAACUCUAGCUCGGCUGAUUUCGAUCGUGACAUGCUUGAACCCAAACCUUUCUUCAUAAUCCUCUGGUUACCGAUACUCGUUCGAAUGAACCCACCAUUAUUCAAACCUUUCACCCGGCUGAAUCUAUGAAGCGAAGAUUUGUACAAAAAACCCCAAAUCUUGGAGGACAAAACCCUAAGAUUCUAUUCAAGAAAAACCCACUAAAAACCUCUACCCCAACCAAGACACGCAUUCCUAUUUAGACGUUAUCACCACAAUAAUGCACUAUGAUCAACAAAAAUUGUUAUGUGUAGUUGUUGAAACAUGCAAUGAAGAAUGAAGAUGAAGAGGAACUUUAGUGUAUAUCUUUCACUUUUCUUGUUAUUUCCUGAAAAUGAGACUCAAGAAUAUAUAUAUUAUAUAUAUAUAUAUAUGAUGUAUGGACCAACUGAAAAACACAACAUAACUUUUAGCAAAAAUACACAACAGAAAAAUGACUGAUAUCAGCGACCACUUGACCUGUUCACACUGGGGGCUCGACCUGUUCAGACCCGCAACAACACAAUUCAAAUAAAACAGGUUAUGAGUCGACUUAAACAGGGAGAUAAGUCGACUCGUGUUAUUUUUCUAGAAAUGAGUCGACCUAUGACUCUACCUGAUCAGACCCGUGAGAUACAAAGAAAAUUAAAUGCAUGAAUGAGUUAACCGCUCCAAAGCAUGAGUCGACUCAAAUACUUGACCUGUUCACACUGGGGACUCGACCUGUUCAGACCCAUAAGUUACAAAGAAAAUGACAUGCAUGAAUGAAUCGACCUCUCCAAAGCAUGAGUCGACUCAAAGAUUUUAAAUGGUCAAAAAUGAGUUUUUUAAGAUGUAUUUUGGUCAAUCCAAAUCAUUAUCUUAUGGACCUAAGGUACCAACAAUGAUCAAGUGCAAUAUUGACAUAUAUGAGAUGCUCAUAUAUGCAUAGACACAUUGAAUUGAUACUUUGAGCAUGUUAAAGAAUGAAUGCACUCUACGAUAUGAUGACACUGUUUAAAGUACACAGUAUGAGCUACUAAAAGGUUUGACAUCAUUAAAACAAGGACUAAGAACCUUUGCCCUCACAUACUCCCCAUUUUUUAUGAUGGCAAACCGUGGCACAAUCUUUCAUAUAUCGUGUACUUUGAUAGACAUCCUCCCCCUGAUUUUAUGCAUUCCUUUGAAAAAAAUAUGCUAUCAUAAUCAUAAGAUAUGUUUCCAUUGCUUCUUUUUGAUGAUGUCAAACCGUGGCACAAUUUUUCAUAUAUCGCAUACUUUGAUAGACAUCCUCCCCCCGAUUUUAUGCAUUCCUUUGAAAAAAUCUGCUAUCAUAAUCAUAAGUUGUGUUUCCAUUGCUUCUCCCCCUUUGGUAACAUCAAAAAGAGACAAGGACAAGGUCAACUGGAAUCAAAGUAUAUUCAUAAGCACGUAAUCAACCACUUUGUAACAGAUUAACAUUAACAACCAUUCACAUAAAAUGAAGUUAAUGUAAUAAAUAUAAUCAUAAAUAAGACACGACACUAGAAAAAGAAAUUUACACACUGCAUUGCCAAAUUUGUUCAACAUAAGUUCCAAGACAAAUAAACUAAACACAAUAACAUGCAAACAUGAAAUGCAACAAUGGUCCUAAUGAUGAAUGCAUGUUAAAUAUGAUUCAUAAGCAAGUUUACACAUAUUUCAAACAUAGAUUCCUAAUGAUGAAUGCAUGUUAAAUAUGAUUCAUAAGCAAGUUUACACAUAUUUCAAACAUAGAAAUGGAUUAAGCUUAGACCAAACCAUAAAAUAAACAUCAAGAAAGUGCAUUAUAUAGAACAAGUACAUACAUAUAUAAAUGAUCAAGAUAGUUCAAAUAGAUAGGAACGAUAUUACCUCCAAUGACGAUAAACGAUGAAUACCCUCAUAUAGCUCGCACUUAUCAAUGUGAUUAAUCAAAUAAUAGACAAGCAUAAAUAUAGAGCAAACAUCAUAUAUAAAUUUAAAAGUGAUCUGAGAUAUCGUGAACACCAAGUUCCCUACGGAUGUGGAAGAAAGGUUCUGUCGCAAGUGGUUUUGUGAAAAUAUCGGCAAGUUGAUUUUUGCUAUCAACGUGCUCGAAAACGACAUCACCUUUCUCUACAUGAUCCCUAAGGAAGUGAUGCCAAAUUUCAAUAUGUUUAGUGCAUGAAUGUAGUAUAGGAUUUUUAGUUAGAUUAAUGGCGCCUGUAUUGUCACACAAAAUGGGAAUACGAUUAAGUUGGACAUUGAAGUCGAGUAAUUGUUGUUUGAGCCACAAGAUUUUGGCACAACAACUACCGAUUACAACAUAUUCCGCCUCGACUAUUGAUAAAGCAACGAAAACUUGCUUUUUACUGUGCCAACUCACUAAGGAAUUUGAAUAAAAAUGACAAGUACCACUAGUGAUUUUCCUAUCCGAUUUGCAACCAGCAAAGUCAGAAUCAGAGUAGCCAACCAAAGAACAAUCACUUCCCUUAGAAAACCAAAGCCUAUACUUUGAAGUAUCACAUAGGUAUCUAAGUAUGCGCUUGACUGACUUUAAGUUUGAUCCUUUGGGACAUGAUUGAUACCUAGCACAAGUACAUACACUAAACAUAACUAGAUGAGAUGCGGUAAGAUAUAGGAGGGAUCCUAUCAUACCUAUAUACCUUUUUAUAUCUACGGCCUUACCAUUUUCAUCUCGGUCCAUAUUUACCGUAAUAGGCAUUGGAGUGUCAAUUACUUUGGAGUUUUCCAUAUCGAAGUACUUGAGUAACUCAUUGCAGUAUUUCGUUUGGCUCACAAAAGUUCCUUCUUCAAAUUGCUUGAUUUGAAGUCCAAGGAAGUAAUUUAAAUCCCCAAUCAUGCUCAUUUCAAAUUCUCCAUGCAUCAACUUAGAGAAUUCCUUGACCAAAUUUAUCUUAGUAGAUCCAAAAACAAUGACAUCUACAUAAACUUGAACUAAAAUAGAGUGUUUUCCUUGGUGCUUAAUAAAAAGGGUUGUAUCAACCUUCCCUCUUGAGAAUCCUUGUUAUAGUAUAAACUUGCUAAGACGCUCAUACCAAGCCUUAGGGGCUUGUUUGAGACCGUACAAAGCAUGCUUAAGCUUAUAAACAUAGUUAGGAUGCUCAUAGUUUUCAAAACCGGAAGGUUGAGAUAUAUAGACCUCUUCAUUGAUGUAUCUACUUAGAAAAGCACUCUUAACAUCCAUUUGAAAUAAUUUGAGGUUUUGAGAACAAGCAUAGGCAAGCAAAAGGCGUAUAGCCUCGAGUCGGGCGACCGGAGCAUAAGUCUCAUCAUAAUCGAUAUCUUCCUCUUGGUUAUACCCUUGAGCAACAAGGCGAGCCUUGUUGUGAGUUAUAGCUUUGUUUUCGUCUAACUUGUUCCUAAACACCUAUCUAGUACCAAUUACUCUAUGGCCUCGCGGAGGGGGGACAAGAUCCCACACCUCAUUUCUCUUGAACUGAUUAAGUUCCUUUUGCAUUGCUAAAAAUCAAUGUUCAUCGAGUAAUGCGUCUUUGGAGUUUUUAGGCUCAAUUUGAGAGACGAAAGCGAAAUGAUAACAAUAGUUACUUAUCUUUGACCGUGUGGUGACUCCCUUUGAGAUAUCUCCUAGAAUAUUAUCGAUGGGAUGAUCCUUAGAAGAUUUCCAUUCCCAAGGAAGAUCAUUGUUAUUAGUUGGAUGAUCCUCCUCUUUCUUUUUCAGAUACAUGAUCCUGAUCUUCCUCAACUUUUUCCAGAUUGGGUUCAACACUCUUUUCUUCUUGAUCUUUUAUUAUGUUUUCCGAAGGAACACCUGCACCAUCAACAAAAGUACCUUCUCCGACAAUUUAUGGAAAAGAUUCGUCAAAGGAAACAUGCACGGAUUCUUCAACGAUGUGUAACCUUUUAUUGUAUACCCUAUAUGCUUUACUAGAUUGAGAGUAUCCGAGAAAGAUACCUUCACUGGCUUUCGAGUCAAAUUUACCAAGGUUAUCUUUACCAUUAUUUAACACAAAGUAUUUACAUCCAAAGACAUGAAGAUGUGAAACAUUAGGUUUCCUUCCCUUUUACAAUUCAUAAGGAGUUUUGUUGAGAAUAGGAUGAAUGAGUAUCCUAUUCAAGACAUAACAAGCUGUAUUUAUGGCGACGGCCCAAAAAUAUUUAGGAAGACCAUUUUCACUGAUCAUAGUCCUUCCAAGCUCUUCUAAAACUCGGUUGUUACAUUCGACUACUCCAUUUUGUUGUGGAGUUCUUGGAGCGGAAAAAUUAUGAUCAGUGCCAUUUGUUUCACAAAAUUCCUCAAAGAUGUGGUUUUCAAAUUCACCUCCAUGAUCACUUCAGAUAGUAACUAUGCUAGUGUUCAAUUUGUUUUGAGAAAUCUUGGCUAACUUUUCAAAAGCGAAAAAAGUGUCACUUUUACUUGCUAAGAAAAUGGUCCAACAAAAUCUAGAGUAGUCAUCUACAAUAACAAAACCAUAGUAGUUUCCACUUAGACUUUUAAUUCUAGAUGGCCUAAAAAGGUUCAUAUGGAGAAGUUCAAGGGGUCUCAUUGUAGAAACAAUGUUUUUUGAUUUAAAAGAGAUCCUUGUUUGCUUUCCCAUUUGGCACGCAUCACAUAACUGAUCUUUUGAAAAUUUAAUUUUGGGUAGAACAACUACUAAAUCUUUUGUAACUACUUUAUUUAGCAAGUCAAAGUUGACAUGCACUAAUCACCUAUGCCAAAGCCAAUAGUCUUCACUCAUGGAGACAAGACAUUUAGCGCUAGUCAAAGAUACUUCAUUCAAGUCAAGCAUGUAUAUAUUAUUUACCCUCAAGCCCUUAAACACAUCAUUCUUUUUAUCAUUAUGUUCAAUCAUGCAACAAUCUUUUGAAAACGAUACUUUAUAUCCAUUAUCGCAUGAUUGGCUAAUGCUAAUAAGAUUGUGCUUAAGGCCUUCAACUAAAAGGACGUAUGAGAUAGAAGUAGAAGAGGGAUUACCUACAUUACCUUUUUCGAGUAUAGCUCCCUUGUUAUUAUCACCGUAGGUUACAAAUCCUUUAUUCUUAGCCACAAAGUCAAAGAAUAAGGAAAUGUCACCCGUCAUAUGUCUUGAGCAUCCACUAUCAAGAAAUCGUCUUUUCUCCGUAGCCUCGAGACAUUCCACCUACAAAUUAAACAAAGGAAUGAGGUAUCCAAUUUUCAUUGGGACCUUGUGAGUGAGUGAAACUUUGGUUGUAUCUGGGCAACCAUUGAAAAAUGUCUUUAGGAACAAAAAAUCUCCUAAUCGGUAUUUAGCAAUAAUGUGUCCCCUCUUGCAGCAAUAUAGACAAUUUAAGUUAGAUUAUAAAGCCUUGUCUAAUUCAGUUUGAAGAGUUUUAACCUCUCUUUGCCAAAUGUGACAAGUUUCACAUCCAGACCAUCUAAACCAAAAUCCCCUAUCAUCUUUAGUUUUAUCUUUAGUAGCCUUUAUCAUAGAUUUAUUAAGAGUUUCUAAUUCCUUUUCGGAAUCAAAAACCUUUUUUUUCUAAACACUAGAAAAUCUUCUUAUUUUAGGCUAAGCGUUUAAAAGACAAUCAAAAUUCUCAAAUCAAGAAGAAAUUAAGAUAACUAAGUCAAGAGGCUCAUGUUACAAUUGUGGAAAGGCUAGUCACUAUAAGUCGGAUUAUCCAUUGUUGAAGAAAGACAAAGGAAAAGACAAACGUUACAAGAAAUAUAGCAAAGCUAGAAGAGCAUACAUUGCAUGGGAGAGCGAUAGUGAGCCCUCAAGCAAUGGUAACUCAAGUGAUGAAGAAAAGGUCAAUCUUUGUUUUAUGGAUCAUCAAAAGAAGAAAAAGAAUGUAAGUCAUUCUAAAUAUGAUCAUGUUGAUAAAAUGUCUUAUUCUGAUUUGUAAAAAGCCUAUAGUUGACUAGAUUUUUAUCUGAAUGUUGAACUUCAUUCUUUCUAAGGUAUCAGUUAUACCUUCUUACAAAUAACCUCAUGUCUUCAUUCAAAUCUUUAUCAUCAUCACUUGAUUCACUCUCACACGUAUCAUUGGUGGAUGACUUAGAACUUGAAGCCUUUAAAGAGAUAUACUUCUUUUUGGUGUCCUUUGCUUUCUCAUUCUUUUCCUUCUUUCAGCUCUUUUCAUGUUUCUCAAGGUUCAUGAGCUCUUUCUCAUGCUCUUGAAGCUUACCAAACAAUGUUGUCAUGUCUAAUGUUCUUAGAUCAUUAGCUUCGUUAAUCGCGGUGACCUUUGGUUGCCAUUCCCUGUUAAGACAUCUUAAGAUUUUGUUAGUAGCAACAUCAUUAGGGGUAGUUUUAUCAAGAGCAUUUAACCAAUUAAUUAGAUGAGAAAAUCGCUUUUGCAUAUCAGCAAUGGUUUCACUAUCCUUCAUAUGAAAAAUGUCAAAUUCUUGAGUCAAAGUGUUGAUUCUAGCUAGUUUAACAUCAUUGGUUCCCUCGUGGGCAAUUUGCAAUGAGUCUUGCAUAGCUUUAGCACUAGUACAAUAGGAAACCCUAUAAUACUCAUUAACACCUAAGGCAACGAUGAUCAUAUUUUUGGCUUUCCAAUCAUAGCUAUACUUUUUCUCAUCCUCUUCAUUCCACUGUGCUUCAGAUUUAUGUAUAACAACGCCAUUCGCAUUGGUCACAGUUAUUUCCAUAGGACCAUAUGGGAAUCUCCUCCAAUCCACUAAAAGGCAUAUUAUCAGAAACAUGUAUUCCCAAGAGAUGGGCAUACUCCUCUAACAUAUGCAUAAGCUGAUAAUCGGGAAAAGUGAAGCAACGGUAAAUAGGAUCAUAGAACUGAACCAAAACACUCAGAAGUCCUUCAACCACAUCAACAGAUAAUACAAACAAAAGCUUUCCAUUUCGUUGCUUGAAGUCCAAGGGAUCUAAUACAAAAGAGGAUAACUUCCUUAGCUCUUUCAAAUCAGGACAUCUGAAAUUGUACUUCUUAGUGUUCCUUCGUCCACAAUCCAUGGUCUGAAACAUUUGCAAAUAAAACCUCAGUUCCUUGAAGUUACUUUUGUCUAAUGAAUGUUAUGACGCGCAUGAAUGCAUGAAUGCAACAAUCACAAAUAAGGGACCACACACAAGGCAAACACAAACAAAGGUCAAGGGAUGGAUCAAGUCAUUAUCAAGAUCAAUCAUCCAUUUUGGUGGAUUAUGGUUUUCACCUUAUCAACACCUAAGUUCCAUUGAUAUUGACAAGACUUAAUCGGAUCAACCAAGAAUCAAAGGGUUUGUUGUGAGACACAAGCAUGGAGUCGGGUUAAGAACCAUCCCAAAGGAGUGUACUAAGGAUAAAAAAACCUGUAGAUCAUGUUCUAAAAAGUUACCAGAGUCUUAAAUCCAUCUAUCAAAUAUUAUAGGUUAGGAUGACAGACUCAUCAACCCAUAAUAUUCUCAAGAGAAACUCGUCUAAGUGUAGUAUCGCGUAAUAACUGUUAUCAGGUCUACACCUGAAUAGUCACCGCACUACGUCCUAAAUAGGCCAAGCUGGGUUAAAUGUUCUACGAUCCUCAGCUUCUCGGACCCCAAAUCAGAGAAAGUAAUGCCUAACCACAAAUGACUUGUGUGACAUCAGUAACUCUAAAAGGGUCUCCACUAAGUAGACGGGUCUCAAGCCAACUUGUUAAGGACCACUCCACACAAGUUGAACAUGACUAUACCAUCCUCAUAUCUUAAUUGCACUCAAGUUUGGGUUAGAACUUAUCUCACCACUCAGAGAUCACCAAGCACAACCAACAAAUUAUAUCAUACAAACAAAUAUACAAACAUCAUAUAUACAAAUAUAUACACAUAAAAAAGUAGGCUAAACCCACUCAGGACUACUCCCUAGCAGAGUCGCCACUUAAUUUCUGUAGCGGUAAAUUCAUGACCAUCAAGCUAUGAAUAAACUUAACGUCAACAAAACCAGAGUUGCCACCACACUUUUAUUGUUUCCAAAGGAAAAAGGAAAAGUACGAACAAAACCCAAAGAUAAGAAGUUUUCAAAUCAAAACUAAUAAAAUGUCAGAGAUUGCAAGUAAGGGGGUUGGUUACACAGAGGGAAAGUGUUAGCACCCAAAUUGUCCUAGGUACUCAUAGGGAGCCUUUUUUUUAUGUGUAUGUAUUUUUGGUAUAAAAGAUGUUUGAGAAAAAAUAGAGUGUGGGGAUGAGAAAAGAAUUCAUUAGUUAUAUUUUUGUGUUUGACAAUACCUUGAGAAAUAAACCAAUUCUGAGGCACAACAAAAUCAAUCGGAUUUGCCAACUCACGCAGGGAGAAACUAUCACGGCUAUGCAACACAAAUAAAUGCGUCGGAGAUCUGAAGACCAAAUAAUGGUUCCAAAAUAAUCUAGGGUUCUUUCAUAAAGUCCCAAACUGGGAAAUGCAGAAAUAGGAAUACCUCAGCCGGGGAAGAAUGAAUUGUAAAGGGAACAGAUCAUUAGCUCGGCUAAAGAUGAGACCCACCUACUCUACUGGAGAUGAUAAAUUACUCGGGGAGAAACUUAUCAACCAUGUUGGGGAUGAAUAAUGAACUGUUGGGGAGGAUAAAGUCACCAAAUUCUCUGGGAAGACCAACCGAUGCUUCACAUAAGACUUACCGUUCUUGAGAUUGAUGUUGACAUUCCUUUUUGAAAUCGAUUACUCUUAAGGUAAAUGCCGUAUUUUUUUAAGAAAAAUGAUUAUUCAUUGAUUUAUUUAUUUCAAAAUUAUUAUCAUAAAAAUUCAAUUUUAAAAUAGAAACAAAUAAGAAUACUAAUUACUUGGAUAAGAGCUCUACUUUAUUUAAUAGAAUGGUAGUCCGUAAAUGGCGGGACUCCAUGGAUCUUUACAAAAUUUGGAAAAUGGUAAUUUAUAUGGAAAAUGGCUACAUUGAAUACAAUGAUCACUGGUCUCCCUACCAACUUCAAAAUCCAUUGUGCUCUCGUCUUCGAUUGAGAAUGAUGAAUCAGAACUAGAUGAAUGCUCAAAGCUGCUUCAAUGAUCAGGACUAGCCGAAUGGAGUUACUUUCCAUAAUCCCUGAUUUUUGCCUAGAUUUCCCCAAGGUGGGGUACUCAAUCUACCGGGAUAAAUUUUAUGUUUUCAUGUCUCUAACUUUUGUCUGGACUGCCCUUUUGGGUUUUCAAUCCACCGAGAUGCUCAUUUUUACCUAAGUCGCCCUUUCGGGUUUUCAACUUAGCGAGCUAUUCUUUUCCUUUUUUAGGCGAAGUAUUUCUUGACUUCAUCGACGUUCACAGGACGAGUGAACUCCUCACCAUCCAUAGUUAUAAGAAUCAAUGCACCGCCUGGAAAGACUCUCUUAACAACAUACGGGUCUUCAUAAUUAGGAGUCCAUAUCCCCAUAGCAUCAGGUUUGAAAGAUAAGAUCUUCUUGACCACGAGGUCACCUUCUCUGAACACACAAGGCUUGCCAUUCUUAUCAAAAGCUUUCUUUAUUCUCUGCUGAUAUAACUGACCAUGACACAUGGCAGUCAACCUCUUCUCUUCAAUCAAAUUUAGUUGGUCAUAUAUGGUCUGACACCAUUCGGCUUUUGUCAACUUGGCUUCCAUCAAAACACGCAAUGAUGGGAUCUCAACUCUCACGGGGAGAACAUGUUUCAUGCCAUAUACAAGAGAGAAAGGGGUUGCCCCUAUUGAAGUGUGUGUGGAUAUACGGUACCCGUGUAAAGCAAAUGGGAGCAUCUCGUGCCAAUCUUUGUACGUUACAACCAUCUUCUGAAUGAUCUUCUUAAUGUUCUUGUUCGCAGCUUUAACAACCCCAUUCAUCUUGGGCCGGUAGGGAGAAGAAUUAUGAUGUGCGAUCUUGAAGUCUUUGCAAAGAGCUUCCACCAUAUUAUUGUUCAAGUUUGAUCCAUUAUCAGUAAUGAUCUUGCUUGGCACACCAUAAUAGCAUAUGAUCUGAUUCUUAAUUAACCUUACAACAACUUGCUUGGUUACAUUUGCAUACGAUGUUGCUUCAACCCACUUUGCGAAGUAAUCAAUAGCCACCAGAGUGAAACGGUGUAUGUUCGAGGCUUUGGGCUCAACCAUGCCAAUCGUGUCAAUUCCCCACAUGGAGGAGGGCCAUGGGGAAGAAAUGACGUUCAAAAGUGUUGGAGGAACAUGAAUCUUAUCCGCAUAAAUUUGACACUUAUGGCAUUUUUUCACAAACUUACAACAAUCUGAUUCCAUUGUCAGCCAAUAGUAAUCUGCUUUCAACAUUUUCUUUGCCAUAGCAUGUCCAUUGGAAUGAGUACCAAAGGAACCUUCAUGGCCUUCAGUCAUCAACAGGUCUGCUUCGUGUAUAUCCACGCAUCUGAGCAAAACCAUAUCAAAAUUUCUCUUAUAAAGUACAUCACCAUUCAGGUAGAAGUUUCCAGCUAAUCUUCUCAAAGUCUUCUUAUCUUUCAAAGAUGCCCUGGACGGGUAAAUCUGACUUCGGAGGAAACAUUUGAUAUCAUAAUACCAUGGCUUUUCAUCUUUGACUUCUUCAGCAUCAAACGCAUGAGCUGGCCUAUCAAGACACAUCACAGUCAAAUUGGGAACUUCAUUCCAAAAUUUCACCAUAAUCAUUUAAGCUAAUGCUGCAAGAGCAUCUGCCAUCUGGUUUUCAUCUCGAGGGAUAUGAUGAAACUCAACUUUUGUAAAGAAAGUUGAUAUCCUCCUCGCAUAAUCUAUGUAUGGUAUCAAAUCGGGUUGAUUCGUCUCCCAUUCACCUUUGAUCUGAUUCACAACCAAAGCUGAAUCUCCAUAGACGUCUAGAUAUUUAAUUCUGAGAUCAAUGGCCUCUUCGAGCCCCAUAAUGCAAGCUUCAUAUUCAGCCAUAUUGUUUGUACAUUUGAAGGUCAAUUUAGAUGUAAAUGAAAAAUGAGUGCCUUGAGGAGUUAUAACCACUUCUCCAAUACCAUUAACAUAUGAAUUAACAACUCUAUCAAAUACCAUACCCCAACGAGAACCAGGUUUUGGCCCUUCUUCAAGCAAUGGUUCAUCACAAGCUUUCAUCUUCAGGUACAAAAUCUCUCCAUCAGGAAAAUCAUACCGCGCUGACUGAUAAUCUUCAAUGGGUUGGUGAGAUAAAUGGUCAUCCAAGACACUACCUUUAAUAGCCUUUUGAGAUCAGUAUUCAAUAUCAUACUUAGAUAAUAGCAUCUUCCAACAGGCAAUUCUCCCAGUUAAAGUAGGAUUUUCAAAAAUGUACUUGAUUGGAUCCAUUUUGGAUAUCAACCAAGUAAUAUGAUUCAACAUAUACUGGCGCAAACGCUUAGCAGCCCAAGCCAAUGCACAACAUGUCUUCUCAAGCAUAGAAUACCGAGUCUCACAGUCGGUGAACUUCUUAUUGAGGUAGUAAAUUGCAUAUUCUUUCUUCCCAGAUUUAUCUUGCUGACCAAGAACACAACCCAUACUUUCUUCAAGCAUAGUCAGAUACAUGAUCAAAGGUCUUCCUUCAACAGGAAGAGACAAAAUCAGAGGUUUAAGCAGAUACUCUUUGAUACUAUCAAAAGCUUUCUGGAAAUCUUCGGUCCAAUCACAAGACUGAUCUUUCCGAAGAAGCUUGAAUAUAGGCGCACAUGUGGCAGUCAUGUGUGAAAUGAAUCUUGAGAUAUAAUUCAAGCGGCCAAGAAAACCUCUAACUUGCUUCUCAGUUUUGAGCACAUGCAUCUCUUGUAUUGCUUUGACCUUGGCAGGAUCAACCUCAAUACCCUUCUCGCUGACAAUAAAGCCCAACAACUUACCAGAAUGAACACCAAAAGUACAUUUAUUGGGAUUCAAGCGGAUUUUAUAUUUCCUCAAACGUUGGAAUAGCUUCAACAAAUACUCAACAUGUUCUUCUUCAUCACUUGACUUAGCAAUCAUGUCAUCAACAUAGACUUCAAUCUCUUUAUGCAUCAUAUCAUGAAAAAUAAUGGUCAUAUCUCUCUGGUAUGUUGCACCAGCAUUCUUUAAACCGAAAGGCAUCACUCUAUAACAGAAUGUUCCCCAGGGUGUAAUGAAUGUGGUCUUCUCCAUAUCUUCAGGUGCCAUUUUGAUAUGAUUAUAACCGGAAAAUCCAUCCAUAAAUGAAAAGAGUUUGAAGUUAGAUGUAUUGUCUACCAACAUAUCAAUGUGUGGCAGAGGAAAAUCAUCUUUCUGAAUGGCUUUAUUCAAAUCUCUAUAAUCAACACACAUAUAGACUUUUCCAUCUUUCUUCGGAACAGGCACAAUAUUGGCCACCCAUUGCAGAUAUUCGGAGGUUACAAGAAAACCAACAUCAAUUUGUUUCUGCACUUCCUCUUUGAUCUUUACUGUCAUAUCAGGAUGGGUUCUUCUCAACUUCUUCUUGACCGACAGGCAUUCUGUCUUUAACGAUAAUCUAUACUCCACAAUCUCAGAAUCCAAACCGGGCAUGUCUUGAUAGGACCAGGCAAAUACAUCAGAAUAUUCUCGAAGAAGAUCAAUCAACCCCUUUCUUAGAUUUUGGACACAGUUGAGACCCAAUCUUAACUUCCUUCACGCCAUCAUCGGAACCCAAGUUGACUAAUUCAAUUUGCUCUUCAAAUGGCUGAAUGACUUUUUCCUCGUGCUCGAGCAAACAGGAUAACUCAUCAGAUACUUCUUCAUCAUCAUCAUUCUCUUCCUCAGCUUCAAACACUGGGAAAUCAAAGUUUAGAGAGGGAGUAGGAUCAUUACAUUCAAUGGGUUUGAGAACCAACCUGCAUAAUGAUUUGAUAUUUUGAGUUUAGAGAAGUGGAGUGCAAACAAAUAUUAUGCAGAUGGAAAUAUUAUUAUUUAUUUAUGUAUUUUGUGAAUGCCAUUUUAAAGAAAAGCAAAAAGUAAAAACAAACAGCAUAGAUUUAGAUGAAUAAAAUUGUCUUUUAUUGAUGAUAAUAAGAAAAUUCCCAACAAUGUUUCACUUCUCCCUUAGGCAUAGGAGAAGGAUUUUCUUAAAAUAAUAAAGCAACAAAUUACUUCGAGCGGUGCAUAACAAUAGGAACAUCAACAACAACUCAAUUGUUGCAAGUAUGGUCGUCCGUUACAAAGUUGGAACAAGCCUCAUCUUCAUCACCACUAUCUUUAAUAAUGGCAGUUGAGUGUUGAUCAUCCUUGUGAAUGAACCCUCCACUACGGAAAACUAGUUGCAUAACCUUGACAUUGGCGUUGAAUGGCCCUCACUGAAACCCCAACCAUGCUUUGUUCUUAUUCUCAACGACUUCUAUAACGCGACCCCACUUGUCGGUGCUGCCAUUCUGAAUAGCCUCUUGUGCAUCCUUCAAAGAAGACAUGGGUGCCCCAACCUUCUUCAAUUCGUCAACAACGGACAAAGCUUGGAAUGGCGUUCCAACUUCCUCCUCAGCAUCAACAUAAGUAAAAGAUGGCAAAUGGCUUACCAGCAAUGCUUUCUCUCCACCCACAACGACAAGCUUGUUGUUCUUCACAAAUUUCAGCUUUUGGUGUAGAGUAGACGUCACAGCGUCAACUUCAUGGAUCUAAGGCCUUCCCAAUAAACAACUGUAGACUGAGUGAAUAUCCAUUACCUGAAAAUUAAUUUGAAAAUAACUUGGACCUAUCUUAAUUGGAAGGUCCACUUCUCUAAUGACGGUUUUCUGAGAACCAUCAAACGCUUUAACAAUCACGCCACUGUACCUCAUCGGGGCGCCUUGAUAAUAAAGUCUCGCUAGAGUUAACUUCGACAACACAUUCAAUGAUGAACCAAUGUCAACCAACACGUUGGACAUAGCAUCCUCCUAACAAUUCAUUGAAAUAUGAAGCGCCAAAUUGUGAUUCCUACCUUCCUUGGGAAGUUCCUCAUCACAAAAACUCAGAUUGUUACAGGAGGUAAUGUUGCCAACAAUAUGGUCAAACUGAUCCACAUUCACAUCGUGUUCCACAUAAGCUUGUUCUAAUACCCUCUUCAAGGCUUCUCUGUGUGCCUCUGAAUUCAUCAACAAUGACAGCACAAAAAGUUUUGACAAUGUUUGAAGCAAUUGCUCCAUAAUGUUGAAUUCGCUCCUCUUAAUUAAAUGUAACACCUCAUCAUCAUCAUUAGUCUUCAACUUGCUGGACUCACCAGACUGACACAUUGGAGCACUAACUGGAUUAACUAUAAUAAUAUAUGUUUUCUUCCCUAUGGAAACAUCUUCCAUAAUCUUAGGAAAAACCGGACUGAACACACGACCACUACAAGUCACCUUCACUACAUCUGCGAUAUUCACCACUAAAUCUGCAACUGGGAGAGGAACCUCUUGACCCUUUUCAUUCAUGGUGGCAUUAUACUGGUAUGACACAACUUUAUCGGAUGCAUAUGGGACAUGGCCCGCUAACCGUAUAACCAACGACGAUACUGAUCUGUUAACAUUAUUGAUGUUGCUGCUAUCAAAUUGAAUGACUACCCACUCAAGGGUCUUGAACACUAGCACGAUGACAUUCACAUCAUGUCCCACAUACAUUGAUUGUUGUACCUGGAUAACAUUCUCAUCCAUCAACUUUUGAAUAUCCCUUUUGACAAUUACACAUCCAUGAGGAUUCACACUACAAAUGACACAACCAUCAUGGUCAUGUUCACAAUGGCUCAUCAUGCAUAAAUCGUUGUGAAUCUCCACCAAAGACCUACGGAUACGACAUACAUAAAAUACUCUGAAAUUCCCUGGACAGUCGUCCACCAUGUUAUCAGAAGCGUUGCCAUGAGCAGGCAACAGGUUGGCUUUCACAUUCAGCACUCUGUCCUCAAAGGACACCAUACCACUCUUGACUAGCUUUUGAACUCCAUACUUCAGAGGAUAGUAGUUCUCAAUAUCAUGACCAGGAGCUCCCUGGUGAAAAGCACAAUGUAAGUCUAGUUUGAACCACCAUGGCAGUGGCUCCGGAAUUUGAGGAGAGCUUCUUGGCUGGAUAAGAUUCUUAACGACCAAAGACGGGUACAACUCUGCAUAUGUCAUAGGAAUAGGGUCAAAAGAGACAUUUUUCCUCUCAAAGUUUUUAUGAUGAUUGUUAUUGUUGUUGUAGUUGGUACGUUGUUGCGGUUGUUGUAGAUGCUAUUGUUGCUGAAUAGGAAUUGAUUGAUUGGUUGAAUUGUUGGAAAAAUACUAGAAUUACUGAUGAUACUUGAUGUUGAUAUGGACGGGACUGGGAACUUUUCCUCACAUGAGGCCUCAUCUGCCUACAUGUUGAUACCGCAUUAGGUUCUCCUUCCUUCUUUUUAGAGAAACUCCCACCAUACUUUUUGCUCGUUGAUGCCUCAUCUUUGGAUAAACGUCCCUCACGGACUCCUUCUUCCAAUCUCAUCCCUAUGUUCACCAUUUCGGUGAAAUCAUUUGGGGCACUUGCGAUCAUUCAUUCAUAGUAAAAUGAACUCAGUGUCUUCAAGAAAAUCUUAGUCAUCUCCUUUUCUUCCAAAGGUGGACUAAUCUGUGCAAUCAGCUCCCUCCAUCUUUGAGCAUAUUCUUUGAACGUCUCUUUAUCCUUUUGAGAAAUAGACCUCAACUAAUCUCUAUCUAGCGCCGUAUCAACAUUAUACUUAUACUGCUUGACAAAGGCCUCACCCAAGUCGUUGAAAGUACGGAUGCUAGCACUGUCUAGGCCCAUAUACCAUCUGAGGGCAGCUCCAGUCAGACUAUCCUAGAAGUAGUGAAUAAGCAACCGGCUGUUAUCAGUUUAAGUAGACAUCUUUCUGGCAUACAUGACAAGAUGACUCAACGAACAAGUAUUCCCCUUCUAUUUUUCAAAGUCUGGGACCUUGAAUUUCACCAAAAUUUUGACAUUAGGAACUAAACACAACUCGAUAGCAUUCUUCCCAAACAAAUCCUUCCCUCUUAAGGUCUUCAGUUCCUUGCGCAGCUCAAGAAACCGGUCCUUCAUUUCAUCCAUCUUCUCAUAAAUAUCUGGACCUUCAAACGACUCAGAGUGGUAAAUGGUGUCCUCGACACAAGGCAGAGUGUGAACAAUAGGAGGAGGGCACAGUCAAGACCAGGCUAGAUGCUGAACAGAAUCAAAAGUAGGCGUGUACCCUUCAUGCAUAAAAUUGGGUGGCAUUCCCCACAGGAAUCCAGCUGGCAUGGCAGGAACAGACUGGCUAACCUCCACAGGCAUAGUUGAUGAGGUGAUCUCUGAGAUGACAGUCCUCUGAGGAGAAGGAGAAGUUGCGGGAGGUGGAGACUGUUGAUUCUGAGCAGCUAUUACAAACUCCAUCAAGGUCGUGAGUCUGGUGAUCUCGUCCUUUAGUUUGUUGUUCUCUUGCUCGAGGUACUCCAUUCUUUUCGGUCAGUUAGCUUGGGUGUUAUAAGGAUGAGUCAACUUGGCUUAUACACAGAAGAAGAAUUGAUAAGACACCUGGCGGAAGAAACCUGUUAUGCAAAUGAUGCAUGAAAUGCAAUGUUUUUGAUUGUUUUUAAUUUCAAGGAACAUAUGAAAUCUUACUUGAUAAUAUAUUUCAAUUAGUAAUAACAAUUAUCAACAAUAAUAACAAUUCAAUUGACCAUAAAAUCUAUUUUUAUUCAUAGAAUUUGGAAGGAUUACACUGAGUACAAUUUCAGAAACCAAAAUACAAAUACAAGGGAAAAAGAAACUGUCAUCCUAAGGAUCCCUAGCAACUGUAUCAGAUGAUCUGGCUAUGGGAGCAUACUUCCUUCUGAUGCGUCGAAUCUCAGACUCAAAGGAUGUCUUCAUCUGAUCCUUCUCAAGAACAAGCUGAUCAACAAUCUUCUUCCAAGCACCGGAAGGCUGAAGCAUACUAAAGAAAAAUAAAUCAUUUGGUUCUCUCUGUCUUUUCACCGCAUGCUCCUCAAGGAUCUCAAUAAGCGCAUCUUUGUCUUUUGACUCAAGCUGAAACUCCUCAUGCUUUUGGUUCAAAGCAUGGAAUCGCUCUUCCUAUAAGUCUUUCUCUUGCUUCAUCUUGGCAAGUGCGCCUUCCAACUCCUCUACAUCCUGGUUAGGGAAAGUUGAUGGCUCAGCCACAACCACAAACAUAGGUCUCUCACAAGCAUAUGGUAUCUUGAGCUCCAAAGCUCUCUUCUUCACCCAAAGAGUGUAAGCUUCCAAAUCUAUACAAUUGCAUGGACCAAGCUUGGAUCUUCCUUUCCUAUGCACGUUGUGCCAAGCACGUACCAUUCUACUCUUCAAAAGUUGGGGAUCUUUACCCUCCUGAUAGAAUAGACCCUCUAACUGAAUGUUAUUAGGCUUGUCUCCCAAGGGGAACCCAAGUCGACGACAAGCCAAUGUUGGGUUGUACUUGAUUCCUCCUUACAUACCAAUGAGAGGCACGUUAGAGAACUCACCACAACAGUCAAUAAUAUCCAAGCUACCCAAUGCAGAAUCAUACCAAACAAUAUCAUCAUUAGUGAGAGAUAUAAGUCUUUGGGACCACCAUAGACAUUGUCGGUUCUCCAUGAAAGCAAGCGUCUGAGGCAAGUGCGAAAUAAACCACUUGUACAGAAGAGGAACACAACACACAAUAGUCCCACCAGCUUUAGAACUCCUAAAAUGCAAAGAGAAAUACAUGUCACCCAACAGAGUCGGAACAAGAUUCCCAAUCAAGAAAAUUCUAAUGGCAUUAACAUCAACAAAACUGUCAAUGUUAGGGAACAAAGCCAAGCCAUAAAUGAGCAAUACCAAGAUAUCUUCAAAAGCGCCCAUGCUACCGGCUUGAGCAAAAACAGUAACCCUACCAAUGAGAAACUCAGAAGUCAACCUAAGAAUUCCUCAUUUCUUCACCAAAUGAGCAUCAAUCUCAGAUUUCUUCAGAUGAAGAGCUUCAGCUAUGACAUGAGAUCUGGGAAUCUCCUUUAAUCCAGUGAAAGGUACCUUGUCAGAUUCGGGCAUAUCCAAGAGAUGGACAUACUCCUCCAAUAUGGGCACAAGCUGAUAGUCGGGAAAAGUGAAACACCGAUACAGAGGGUCAUAGAACUGAACCAAAACACUCAGAAGUCCUUCAACCACAUCAAUAGAUAACACAUACAAGAGCUUCACAUGACGUUGCUUGAAGUCCAAGGGAUCUAAUACAAAGGAUGACAACUUCCUUAGCUCUUUCAAAUCAGGACAUCUGAAACUAUAAUUUUUAGUGUUCCUUUGUCCAUAAUCCAUGGUCUGAAAAUAUUUGCAAACAAGACCUUAGUUCCUUGAAAUUUAUUUUUUGUGAUGAAUGUUAUGAUGCACAUGUAUGCAUGAAUGCAAGAAUCACACACAAGGGAUCACACACAAGGCAAACAUAAACAAAGGUCAAGGGAUAGAUCAAGUCAUCAUCAAAAUCAAUCAUCCAUUUUGGUGGAUUAUGGUUUUCACCUUAUCAACACCCAAGUUCCAUUGAUAUUGGUAAGACUUGAUCGGAUCAACCAAGAAUCAAAGGGUUUGUUGCGAGUCACGAGCAUGGAGUCAGGUUAAGAACCAUCCGAAAGGAGUGUACUAAGGGUAAAAACCUAUAGAUCAUGUUCUACAAAAGUUCCCAGAGUCUUAAUCCCAUAUAUCAGAUACUACAGGUUAGGAUGACUGACUCAUCAACCCAUAGUAUUCUCAAGAUAAACUCAUCUGAGUGUAGUAUUGCGUAACAACUGUUAUCAAGUCUACACUUGAACAGUCUCUGCACUAUGUCCUAAAUGGCUAAGUUAGGUUAAAUGUUUUAUGGUCCUCAGCUUCUUGGACCCCAGUUUAGAGAAAGUAAUGUCUAUCCACGACUUGCUUGUGUGACAUCAGUAACUCCAAAGAGGUCUCCAUUGAGUGGGGGAUCUCAUGCCACCUUUUUCAGGACUAAUCCUUCAAAGUCAACAUGACUAUACCACCCUCCUAUCUUAGAUUGCACUCAAGUUUGGGUUAGAACUUAUCUCACCACACAGAGAUCACCAAGCACAACAAACAGAGUAUCACACAACAAUAUAUACAAACAAACAUCAAAUAUACAAAUAUAUACACAUAAAAAAGUAUACUAAACCCACUGAGGACUAUUCUUCCCAGCAGAGUCGCCACUUAACUUCUGUAGCAAUAAAUUCAUGACCAUCAAGCUAUGGAUAAACUUGACGUCAAUAAAACCAGAGUCGCCACCGCGCUUUUAUUGUUUCCAAAGGAAAAUGGCAAAAGUACGAACAAAACCCAAAGAUAAGAAGUUUUCAAAUCAAAACUAAUAAAAUGUCAUAGAUUACAGGUAAGGGGGUUGGUUACACAGAGGGAAGGUGUUAGCACCCAAAGUGUCCCAGGUACUUAUAGGGAGCCCUUUUUUGUGUGCAUAUGUUUUUGGUCUAAAUGAUGUUUGAUAAAAUAUAGAGUGGGGGGGUAAGAAAAAUAAUUCAUUAAUUAUAUUUUUUGUGUUUGACAAGACCUUCGGUCUUAUGACUACGUACCAACAUAAAAAUGAGAGAUUAAAACCCCAUAGUUCGUGAUACAAAUUUCAAAGAAGUCGGUGAAUUGAUUUUUAACAAAAGUUUAAAUGAAAAAGGGCACAAAAAGCCAAAGAUUUGGAUAAGGUUAUUGGUUGUUUUUUAUUUUUUAAAUUAAAGUCAAUAUGGUUAAGUUCAUUUACAAAUUUGAUUAAGAAAAGAUUUUAAAAUUCAUUGGCAUAUGGCCAAAGUUUCUAAUCAUUAAAACAUGUCUAAGUUGAAAAACACAAACAAAAUAGGUUUUGAAAAGAGGGAGAGAUUUUGAAAUUUAAGAAGUGGGAGGAGAUGAAGGGACUAUCCUAAACAAAAAUUAAAAGUUGAGAGUUGAAAAGAUCUGACCAAUGGGGUGCAAUCCAACAGACAAGAGUCUCAUUCCUUUGGACUUUAGCAAGCAACAAGCAUAAGCAAUAUCCAAGCAAAUCAUAUGAAGGAUAAGGCGUCAAAUAAAGGUAGCCAGAAAAUCCAAGCAAAGCAAUCCAAUAGCUAGCAAUCUUCAAUUUCUUCCAAUGUAUCAGAUGAAAAUAUUCCUUGGUCAACUCAGAACAAUCAUCAAAUAUCAACAAUAAUAACAAUAUAACAACUAAGCACAAAUGUAAAAUGUCAGAUGAAUCAAGGUCACUCAAUGGUCUUGCAUCAGAUGACAUGUACAUGCAAGGAUAAAUCAGUCUCAGAUAGUGGCAUUGGCCAAGUCCUCAAAGCAUAGGGAGGUUGCUUAUCCUAAGUCCAAAAGUUCAGAUCAAGUUCAAUAGUCCACCAAGAUGUUUUUUUAGGAUUUUUGUUGUUGUUAGGUAUUUUAAGGUCCUAAGACCACAAACAAAAUCAAAACAAAGCAAACAAUAUAUACACACAUAAGAUAUGACUCAAGUGAGCAAAGUGAAAAGGACUGAAACAUAAACAAGUUGCAUGAAAUGGAAAUGGAAGAUGAAUGAUAAAUGUACUGAAAUUUAAAUUGCAUUAAGUAAAUGACUUGAAAGUAAAUCAAAAUUAAUAAAGUUUUAGUCAAAUGUUAGUGAAGAAUUUUAAUUGUUAAGUCAUUCUUUGGAGAACACUCAACCAUUCAUUCACAAGUAUGAAUCCUUGAACCAAGACAUCAUUCAUGAGAAGUGAUCCAACUUGGAUGAUUCAACAAGUAUGUCGAUAUCUCUCAUGAAAGGAAAAAAGGUCAAGUCUCCACACAAUGCCAUGAAGAAUGAGAGACUUACAAUUUCACUUACUAGAAUGUUAUGUCUUCUUGAUCAAAUUUAGCUCUAUGUUAAGCAAUUGUAAUUGGACUUAUGUAGAAGUCACAACUAUCUGAGGUCGGUCAAUAAAAAUAUAGGUGUUGUAGCGGUAAAUUCAUGACCAUCAAGCUAUGGAUAAGCUAGACGUCAAUAAAACCAGAGUCGGUACCGCGCUUUUAUUAUUUCCAAGGGAAAAGGGAAAAGUACGAACAAAACCCAAAGAUAAGAAGUUUUCAAAUCAAAACUAAUAAAAUACCAGAGAUUACAGGUAAGGGGGUUGGUUACACAGAGGGAAGGUGUUAGCAUCCAAAGUGUCAUAGGUACUCCUAGGGAGCCCUUUUGUGUGCAUAUGUGUUUUUGUACAAAACGAUGUUUGAAAUAAAUAGAGUGGAGGGAUGAGAAAAUAAUUAAUUAAUUAUAUUUUUGUGUUUGACAAGACCUUCAGACUUGUGCCUACGUACCAACAUAAAAUGAGGGAUCAAAACCUCAUAGUUCGUGGUAUCAAUUUCAAAGUGGAUGCAUUGCUUUUAACAAAAGUUUAAGUUUAACAAAGACACAAAAGGCCUAAAAAGGUUUAAAUGAGUGUUAAUUCUCUUUGGCUUUUGAAAAUUUUAAAUCAAAAGCUCAACAUAAUUUAUUUUGUAUUUAAAUAAUUAAAAUCAAUUGAAAUAUGCAUUAAAUUAAAUUAUGGUUUAUCAAAUUCCUAAAACCUCAUCAAAACACCAAAGAAAUGACCAUGAGUUUUAUCAUAGGUCAAACAAGGUCAAAGGACCUUAGAGAAAAAAAUUCAUAAUUUUUAGAAACCUAAAAGUAUUUUUAAACAAUUAAAAAUAUUUACAAAAUCAAUUAAAUCAUGAAAAAUAUUAAUAAUGAUCCAAAAAAUAAUUUUAAUUCAGAAAAGGAAAGAGGAAUUUAUUUAAAUUUUUUUGCUGAAACUCUCAUAUUUUUUGGAUCAAUAUUAAAACUAAUAUGAAUUAAUGAAAAUAAACCAAAUAAAAUGAAAAUCAGAAAACAAGAAAAAACGUGGACCACUUGAUCUCCCUCAUUAAUUGAGGUGGCAGAUCAAGUGGCUCCUGGCGCACGUUCCACAAUAGUCAUUAGUUAAUGCGCAGUAGGAAAUGUAUGCAAAACCAAGGCACGGGAUUAAAACGUUUCAAAUGGAUCAUGUGGUUCAAAUGAAAGCCAACGCGCCACCGGAGGCAAAGCUUUGGUCUCCUUCUCUGAUGAGCUUCACCGUACUGGUUCACUUACAACCAUCACCAAAAUUAAAAAGAAGGACAUGAAUUUAAAGUAAAAAUGCUCAGGAGCUCGAAUCUGGCCUCAAUUUCUCAUAACUCCAAGUAUAUUGAAAGAUACAGGGAGUUGAAUUUUGAGGUGCAUGAUCUGAGUUGCUUCGAUUUGACCUAAAAGCAACUCAAUCAUGUUGCCUACAUUGGUAGGACUUCAAACAACCAAAGAUCAAGAAGAAUUAUGGAGAAUUGGUGAAAAUCUAAGAGAUGAAAUUUUCUGGAAAAUACCUUCAAUACAGGUUUGUAUUCAAUCGAUCUUGCUCUUGAUCUUGCUCAGGACACUUGAUGGAGUGGAGUUGAAUGAUCAAAAGGCACAUGACUCUUGAAGAUUUGAAUCUCAAAACAGUGAGAUUCAAACUCAAUUUCCAAUGGAAGUUAUCAAGGUUAUCCUUUGAAAUGAGAGGGUUUGAAGGUCUGGAUUCAAAGCUGGCGCGUAGGGUUCUUAAUUCUGAUGGAAAUGGGUCCUAUUUAUAUCCAAAUGGAUUGAUAUUUGCACACUUGAAGUGAAGAUCCAAAAAUAGCAAUGUACAUUGCAUGGGUGCAUGGGCGUGUAACAGGCCCAUGUAAUCACUUCUUCUGAUCCAUAAUUGAGUACAAACAUUGUUGAAGUCAUGUUGGAAAGCUAUGCAUUGAUGUAUGGAAGUUUCAAGCUCAAAUGUGCCAAACGGUCCUCCAUGUUCAAGCCAUGCGCAAGUCACUCAUAUCUUGUCCAAAUGGGAUGAAAUUGGACUUUUUUGGAAAGGUUAGAUCAAAAGGAACAACUUUCAUGUUGACCACUUUUUCAUUGAAGCUUGGAUCAUGAUGAAUUUUGAGGUGGAAGUUAGGAAAAUCAAACAUAUCAAAAAAAAUUCUAAGUGUCAAGCCAUAUGUUCACUUAUUCCACCUUGGCUGACUUUUUAUGUGAGCUUCAAAUUAGAAAUGUUCCUUCAUCAAAGUUGUAGCUCUCUCAAAUUAAUUUAAAAUGGUAACAAAUUUGACCUCAUUUGGAUUUAAUAUGAAGGAGUUAUGCAUUUUUAAAGUUGAGGAAGAUCACUUGUUCAAUGGCAUUGGUCCAAAAUGACCUAUAAUGUAUCCUUAUAUCACAUUCAUAUAAAAGUUGAAUUUGCUCUUCUUACAAACAUCAAAGUUGAGGUAUACAUCUUGAAUUUUAUUUUGCAACUUGUAAAUCUUUCAUCUCAUAAAAAUUGAGCAAGUUAUGGUCUUGGGAAGUUGACCUCCAAAUUAGGGUUUAGACAAAAUGACCUAUAAUCUUUCACCAUAAAAAUUGACUUUCCAAGCAAAACUCAAUAUAGACGUCAACAUGAAAGGUGUUUGGAAUGUCAUUUAGAGUAAUGGUUCUCUUGGAAUUAUUUUCAUAUGAAAAAAAGUGUAGGAGAUAGGGUCUAGGGAACCCCAUUUUUGAUUAGAUGAAUUCCUCUGGUCAACCACCAUCAACCAACUUGCUAGCUUGCAAUUCUCUUGACUUUUGGGACUCAUGGGAGAUCAUAUAUGCAUAAUAUGAUGAAAGUUUAAGUAUCCCUGGAAAUAUUUGAUCAAUUUUUGAAGAAGCUUGUUGAAGAAGUUACACAAGAUACCCAAAUGAAUUAGGGUUUCCAAGGCAAACCAAUUCCAAACUCUUGAAGAUUUCUUGAUCAAAAUGGCAUGUGAAGAUCAUGGGGAUUCAUAUAUGAUAUCUAGAGCCGAUGUAGACCAAUUCUUGAUUGAGCUCCUUGAAUUGAGGGUCUUAAACCCUAUAUAUGAGCUUGAUAGAUCAAAGGUGAGCAUGUGCCUUACCUACAAAAGAGUUAGAUUAUACAAAGACAUAUUUUUGGUAUUUUGGUUAGUAAAAUGAUAAAAAUACAAAGUAUGAUACAAUCAAAUGGUGCUUGGUGAUCUAUCUCAAUAAAAACCCAAUGAAUGAGGGGUAAGGAGGAUGCCAAGGUGUGUGAUCCCAAUGCUUAUGCAUAUGAUGAGAUAACAUGAGGGAUCUUAGGGUCAAAAUUAGGGUCUUACAGCUGCCCCUAUUUAAGGACAUUCUAGCUGAGGAGAUGAAGGUUAAAAUUUUCGUAUCGACUCAGUAGAAUGGGCUCAAAUAACAACAUAUAAAAAAAAUUGGUCCCUAAGAGACCUCAUGAUGCAUGUGAAAUGAAUGUUAAAAAAAACAUCUUUGUGGGGAAAUAUUGCCACAAAGGAAAAGAAUUCGGAGGGACUGAAAAUCCACAGGAGCAUAAUGCAUUCCGUAAGGAAAACUCGCUAGGGAGGCAGACACUUUGAGGGGAUAAAAAAGGUUGCGCGUAGGCCAGACUACGACUUAAAACUACUUAGGGACACGAGAGAUUCCAUGAAAAUAAAUCAAUGGAAAGACUCAGUCGGGGAGAUAAAGACAUCCGUGGGGGAAACGAGUAGAUCAGAACAAAGUUGAAAUACUCGAGCCAAGCAGGAAACGACGAUUUCACUAAGGAAAUACGCACUCAAACUCAACUGGGGAAGAAACGAUCUUCAACACAGGAGUAACAUAAGCAUAUCGUCCAUUACCGGUUAUUGGUAAGGGGAGAAUAACUUUGACAGGGAGGACAUCCGUUACCGGUUAGGGUAAAUAUAUCAAGGAUGACUCGCUGAGGGCAACCAGAAGGUGUAUUCAUUACCAGUUACUGGGUAAGAAUAAACUGCUGGGGAAAAGCUAAAAUAGGAUUUAUAACUACCAGUUAUUGGGCAGAAGACCGAAGAGAGAAUAUCUGUCACUGGUUAAAGUGAACAUAUCAAGGAUAGACUCAAAGGAAAUAAAAUAUGUCAUCGGUUAAGAUGAACAUAUCAAGGACAAACUUGCUUGGGGAAAUGUUAGGGAGAAUAUCCUUCACUGGUUAAAGUGAACAUAUCAAGGAUAAACUGCCUAAACAAGGUCGAAUGCUGGAUAGAAUACCAAAAAAGAGAAUAUCCGUCAACGGUUAGGAUUAACAUAUCAAGGAUAGACUCAGAGGGGAGAAAAUAGGAAUUAUAUCUAUCAGUUACUGGAUAGAAAACCAAAAAGAGAAUAUCUGUCAUUGGUUAGGAUGAACAUAUCAAGGAUAGACUCUGCGAAGGGAAGAAAAAGCAGGAUUUACAAUUACCGGUUACUGGGCAGAAGACCGCAAAGAGAAGGAAAUUCGUCAUCGGUUAAGAUGAACAUAUCAAGGAUUAACUCUCUGAGGAAUAAAUAGGGAUUACAACCACCUUUUUACUGGGUAAAAUACCAAAAAGAGAAUAUUCAUCACCUGUUAAGAUGAACAUAUGAAGGAUAAACUUAAAGAAGGGGAAGAAAGUAUCCGUCACCGGUUAGGAUGAACAUAUCAAGGAUAUACUUCUUGGGAAACGUGAAAACGAAUCCUCCGGGGAAAAAAAGAGUCACUCUUGUCGGGUAUUGGGCAAAAGUAACAAACUGCAAACUAAGAAGAAUAUUACCGGUUACUGGGUAAUAGACUCUUAGGGGACCAAGAGUAUCUAUCUAGGUAAGAUCUAGAAAGAAACGGUCAAUCAAGACUCAUCCUAAUCAAAAUAUAACUCAAGGGGAGUGGUUUCGUCCAAAUAAUCAACUAGGGAGGAAACUAAAAUAAUGAUCUUCCACGAGGGACUAGCUCAGUGGGGAAAGGAGAAAGGUUAAAGUCUUUCUGCUUAAGGGGCUGACACUUUACAAUUGAAAGAGGACAUACACACCAAAUCUAUAUGGGGAAAGGUAUCGCCAUAGCAGAGAAUCAAAAUAAAUGAUGAAUCACAAAGUGCAAUAAUGCAAUAAUGAAGUUUUAUGAGUGUAUAUGUAUAUGUAUAUGUAUAUAUGACGAUUAUGUUGAUAGAAUGAUCACAAAGGAUACAAAUGUCACUGAUUUGAAUCAUCGAUACAAUUCUUGGCCAAUCCGCACAAGAGAGAAACAACUGUUGGAGAAAAGAUCAAACAUUCCGAAGAUUCGAUCUUGGCUGGGGAAAGCACAAGGAGAGAAUCUGUUGAGGAAACUGCUAUCAAGUCUGCAGGGAAUUUUUGGUCAACACCAUAUCAAAUGGAAGACAACCCUGCAGGGGAGAUGAUCACAAAUGCUGUUCACAAUCAGAGAACCAUUCUGACGACUUGCGGAAAAGCAAAAUUACAUCGAAGCCAAGCAAACUGCUGAAAUAACACGCCUACAACUCAAGGGAGGCCAAUCACAAACUCAGUUGGGGAUGCCAAUAAACUCGGCUGGGGAAACCAACAAACCUCGAUGCUGACAUGUUGUCGGGGAUGAAAAGGGUAUUAUGCCAACUGCUUGGGAAGAACCAACAAUGUUUCGUACUUAGGGUUUACCGCUUUUCAAACCGCUGUUGACAUUCCUUUAAAUGAGAUCAAAUAGCUUUAAAAUAUCUGCUUUUAUAUAUUUUAAGAAAACAUGAUUUUGAUUUAAAAAUUUUAAUUUCAAAAAUGAUCAUAAUAAAAUUUAAAUAUAUUUGGCUGAAUAAAUAAGAGUAGAAACAAUUGGAUAAAAGCUCAACUUUAUUUAAAAAGAUGGUAGUCUGUAAAUGACAAGACUCCAUAGAUCUUUACAAAAGUUGAAAAAUGGUAAUUUACAUGGAAAAGGGCUACAUCGAAUAAAAUGAUCACUAAUCCUUCUACCAAUUCUUGACAUCCAUCAUGCUCUUGGCCGCUCUACCGAGGAGGAUGAAUCAACACCGACCGUUGUGCUCAAGAAUGUCUUCAAAACUGAAGAUCAGCAGGAUGCAGUUUCUUGCCAUAAUCCCUAGUUUUUGCAUAAAUUUCCCCAAGGCGGGGUACUCAAUUCAUCAGGAUAAUUCUUUUUCUGUUUUAUGUCACUAACUUUUGCCUGGAUCGCCCUUUCGGGUUUAAUCCACCGAGACACUCUUUUUUGCCUAAGCCUCCCUUUCAGGUUUUCAACUUAGCGAGCUGUUCUUUUCUUUUUAGGCGAAGUAUUUCUUGACUGCAUCUGUGUUCACAGGACGCAUGAACUCUUCACCAUCCAUAGUUGUAAGAUCAAAGCACCGUUUGAAAAGGCUCUCUUUACAACAUAUGAGCAUUCAUAAUUAUGAGUCCAUUUGCCCCUAAAAUCUGGCUUGAAAGAUAGAAUCUUCUUGAGCACAAGGUCACCUUCUUUUAACACACGUGGUCUAACCUUCUUAUCAAAAGCUUUCUUCAUCCUCUGCUGAUAUAACUGAUCAUGACACAUGGUAGUUAACCUCUUCUCUUCAAUCAAAUUCAGCUGGUCACACCUGGUCUGACACCAUUCAGCUUCAACCAACUUGAUUUCCAUCAAGCUACACAAUGAUGGGAUCUCAACCUCUACCGGGAGCACAACCUCCAUGCCAUAUACAAGUGAGAAAGGGGUUGCUCUUGUUGAAGUGCAGAUGGAUGUACGAUACCUGCGUAAAGCAAAUGGGAGCAUCUCAUGCCAAUCCUUGUACGUCAUAACCAUCUUCUGGAUGAUCUUCUUGAUAUUCUUGUUUGCAGCUUCAACAAACCCAUUCAUCUUAGGUCUGUCGGGAGAAGAAUUAUGGUGUGCAAUCUUGAAGUCUUUGCAAAGAUCUUCCACCAUAUUAUUAUUCAAGUUAGAUCCAUUAUCAGUAAUGAUCUUACUUGGCACACCAUAAUGGCAUAUAAUAUGAUUCUUGAUAAAUCUCACAAUAACUUGCUUGGUUAAAUUCGCAUAUGACGCCUCUUUAACCCACUUUGUGAAAUAAUCAAUAGUCACCAAAAUGAAACGAUGUCCAUUCGAAGCUUUGGGCUCAAUCAUGCCAAUCAUAUUAAUUCCCCACAUGGAGAAGGGCCAUGGGGAGGAAAUGACAUUCAUCAGUGUCGAAGGAACAUGAAUCUUAUCUGCAUAAAUUUGACACUUGUGGCAUUUCUUCACAAACUUGCAACAGUCAGAUUCUAUUGUCAGCCAAUAGUAACAUGCUCACAACAUCUUCUUAGCCAUAGCAUGUCCAUUGGAAUGAGUACCAAAGGAACCUUCAUGGACUUCAGUCAUCAACAGGUCUGCUUCGUGUCUAUCCAUGCAACUGAGCAGAAUCAUAUCAAAGUUUCUCUUGUACAACACAUCACCAUUCAGGUAGAAAUUGCCGGCCAAUCUUCUCAAAGUCUUCUUAUCUUUUAAAGAUGCCCCAGACGGGUAGAUCUGACUUUGGAGGAAACACUUGAUAUCAAAAUACCAUGGCUUAUCAUCUUUGACGUCUUCAACAGAAAACAAAUGAGAUGGCCUAUCAAGACGUAUCACAGUCAAGUUGGGAACUUCAUUCCAAAACUUCACUAUAAUCAUUGAAGCCAAUGUUUCCAAAGCAUCUACCAUCCGGUUUUCAUCUCGAGGGAUAUGGUGAAACUCAACCUUUGUAAAGAAAGUUGAAAUCCUCCUUGCAUAGUCUCUAUAUGGUAUCAAACUGGGUUGAUUAGUCUCCCAUUUACCUUUGAUCUAAUUCACAACCAAAGUCGAAUCUCCAUAGAUGUCUAAAUACUUGAUUCUGAGAUCAAUGGCCUCUUCAAGCCCCAUAAUGCAAGCUUUAUACUCAGCCAUAUUAUUCGUACACUUGAAAGUCAAUCUAGCUGUAAACGGAAAAUGCGUGCCUUGGGGAGUAAUAAUCACUUCCCCAAUGCCAUUACCAUAUUGAUUAAUAGCUCCAUCAAAUACCAUACCCCAACGGGAACCAGGUUCUGGCCCUUCUUCAAGCAAUGGUUCAUCACAAUCUUUCAUCUUCAAGUACAAAAUAUCUUCAGCAAGAAAAUCAUAUUGUACUGACUGAUAAUCUUCAAUUGAUUGGUGAGCCAAAUGGUUAGCUAAGACAUUACCUUUGAUCGCUUUCUGAGAUUGGUAUUCAAUAUCAUACUCGGAUAACAACAUCUGCCAACGGGAAAUCCUCCCAGUUAAAGCAGGCUUCUCAAAAAUAUACUUGAUUGGAUCAAUUUUGGAUAUCAACCAAGUGGUAUGAUUCAACAUAUACUGACGCAGACGCUUAGUAGCCCAAGCCAAUGUACAACAAGUCUUUUCAACCAUAGAAUAUCGAGUCUCACAAUCGGUGAACUUCUUACUGAGGUAGUAAAUAGCAUAUUCUUUCUUUCCAGUUUCAUCUUGCUGACCUAGAACACAACCCAUACUUUCUUCAAGCACAGUCAAAUACAUGAUCAUAGAUGUUCCUUCAACAGGUGGAGAUAGAAUCAGAGGCUCAAGCAGAUAUUCUUUGAUUUUGUCAAAAGCUUUCUGGCAAUCUUCGGUCCAAUCACAAGACUCAUCUUUCCGGAGAAGCUUGAAUAUAGGCACACAUGUGGCAGUCAUGUGUGAAAUUAAUCUUGAGAGCAAAUUCAAGCGCCCGAGAAAAUCUCUGACCUGCUUCUCAGUUUUGGGCGCAUGCAUCUCUUGUAUUGCUUUGACCUUGACAGGAUCAACUUCAAUACCCUUCUCGCUGACAAUAAAGCCCAAUAGCUUACCAGAACGAACACCAAAAGUACACUUAUUGGGAUUCAAGCAGAGUUUAUACUUUCUCAAACGUUGGAAUAACUUCAACAAAUGCUCAACAUGUUCCUCUUCAUCAAUCGAUUUAGCAAUCAUGUCAUCAACAUAGACUUGGAUCUCUUUAUGCGUCAUAUCAUGAAAAAGAGUAGUCAUUGCUCUUUGGUAAGUUGCACCAGCAUUCUUUAAACCGAAAGGCAUCACUGUAUAACAGAAUGUUCCUCAAGGUGUAAUGAAUGUGGUCUUCUCCAUAUUUUCAGGUGCCAUCUUGAUCUGAUUAUAUCCAAAAAAAUCUGUCCAUAAACGAAAAGACUUUGAACUUAGCUGUAUUGUCUACCAACAUAUCAAUGUGUGGCAGAGGGAAAUCAUCUUUCAGACUGGCUUUGUUCAAAUCUCUAUAAUUAACACACAUGCGGACUUUUCCAUCCUUCUUCGGAACAGGCACAAUAUUGGCCACCCAUUGCGGAUGCUCAGCAGUAACAAGGAAACCGACAUCAAUCUGCUUUUGCACUUCUUCUUUGAUCUUCAUUGUCAUAUCAGGGUGAGUUCUUCUCAACUUCUAUUUGACUGGCUGGAAUUAUGUCUUCAACGGUAAUCUAUGCUCCACAAUCUCAGAAUCCAAACCAGGCAUGUCUUGAUAGGACCAAGCAAACACGUUUGAAUACCCUCGGAGAAGAUCAAUCAACUUUUCUUAACUUUAGGACACAGUCGUGACCCAAUCUUGACUUCCUUCACAUCAUCUUCGGAACCCUAGUUGACUAACUUAAUCUGCUAUUCGAAUGGCUAAAUGGCUUUUUCUUCGUGCUCAAGUAGACGAGACAAUUCAUCAAACACUUCUUCAUCACUUUCUUCCUCGGCCUCAAACACAGGGAAUUCAAAGUUUGGCGAAGGAGUAGGAUCAUUGUAUUCAAUGGGUUUAGAAACCAACCUGCAUAAUGAUUUGAUAUUUUGAUUUUAGAGAAGUGAAUUGUGACCAAAUAUUAUGCAGAUGGAAAAUUAUUUAUUUAUUUAUUUAUGUUUUUUGUGAUUACCAUUUUCAGAAAAAGCAAAAAGUAAAAAUAAAACAUCAUAGAUGUGGAAAAAUAGAAUUAUAUUUUAUUGAUGAUCAAAUUUGAAGAUGCCAAACAAUGUUCACUUCUCCCUUAGGCAUAGGAGAAGGAUUUUCAAAAACAGUAAAAGUAGUUAUUUAGAUCGAUGCAUAAUAAUAGGAACAUCAACAACAGUCCAAUUGUGGCAAGCUUUUCCAUGCGUCACAAACUUGGUGCAGUCUUCAUCUUCAUCACCCUCGAUUACAGCAGCUAAGUGUUAUUCAUUACCAUGAAUGAACCCUCUGUUAUAGAAACUGGGUUGCACAUCUUCAACUCUAAUCACAGGUGAACCUUGUUGGAAUCCCAAACCAGUUCUGCUCUUGUUAUCGGGGCCUCUACCAUUUGUCCCCACUGACCAGAAUUACCAACUUCAAUAAUCUUCUGAGCGUCUUUGAACGAGGACAUAUGUGCCCCAACUCUCUUUUCCUCAGCAAUAGAUAGGGCUUGGAACAGAGUUCCAAUCUCAUCCUCAGCUUCCACAUAAGAUAAAGAUGACAGGUGGCUCACUAACAAAUCCUUCUCCCCACCAACGAUAACAAGCUUACCAUUCUUGACAAACUUCAACUUCUGAUGCAAAGUUGACAUAACAGCUCCCGCCUCAUGUAUCCAUGGCCUUCCUAACAAGCAACUAUAGGCCGGGUGGAUAUCCAUUACUUGGAAAUUAAUUUGGAAAUCACUCGGACCUAUCUUCACAGGAAGGUCCACAUCACCAAUCAUAGUCUUGUGAGAACCGUCAAAAGCCUUGACGUUUACGCCACUAUAUCUCAUUGGAGCUCCUUGAUACGACAAUCUUGAAAGAGUUGAUUUUGGGAAUACAUUCAAUGAAGAGCCGUAUCAACCAGUACAUUUGACAAAGCAUCCUCCUUGCAGUUCAUUGAAAUAUGCAGUGCCAAGUUGUGAUUUCUGCCUUCCUCGGGAAGUUCUUCAUCACAAAAUCUAAGAUUGUUGUAGGAAGUGAUGUUAGCCACAAUAUGACCGAGUUGAUACACCGUAACAUCAUGCUCCACAUAAGCUUGCUCCAAUACUUUUUGCAAUGCUUCUCAGUGUCCUUCAGAGUUCAUAAGCAGAGACAAUACUAAACUUUUAGAGGGAGUUUGGAGUAGUUGCUCUACAAUAUUGAAUUCACUUUUCUUAAUCAAACGAAGCACCUCAUCAUCAUCGUUAGGCUUCAAACCGUUGGACUCACCAGACUGACAUCUUGGAGCACUAACCGGAUCUACUACAGGCACUUUAACUUUCUUAUUGACAGAUACAUCUUCUAAAUUCUUUGGGAACACCGACCCAAAAACUCGACCACUACGACUCACCUUCGUAACAUCAGCUAUGCUCACAACAGAACUAGUCAUAGGUAAAGGAACCUCUUGACUAUUCUCUAACAUAGUAGCAUUAUACUGGUACGAAACAGCCUUAUCGGAUGCACACGAGACUGGACUCGCUAACCGUAUAACCAACAACGAUACUGACCUAUUGCUGACACUAUUAUUGCUGCUGCUGUCAAACUGGAUCACCACUCUCUCUAGAGUUUUGAAUACUGGCACAAUAACAUUGACAUCGUCACCUAAGUGACGAAACUGGAAAAUCUGGAUCAUACCUCAUCCAUCAACCUCUGGAUGUCUCCCUUCACAAUCACACAACCUCGAGAAUUGACACUGCAAAUUGCACAACCAUCAUGGUCAUGCUCACAAUCACUCACCAUACAUAUAUCCUUGUGCAUCCUCACCAAUGACCUUCUAAUGAAGCUAACAUCAUAUAUCUUGAAUUCCCCGGGACAACCGUCUAUCAUACUAACAUAUGAAUUACCAUGAGUAGGUAGUGGGUUAGCUUUAACAUUCGGCGCACGGUCCUCAAAGGACACCAUUCCACUCUUUACCAGCUUUUGGACUUCAUACUUCAAGGGGUAACAAUUCUCAAUAUCGUGACUGAGAGCUCCUGGGUGAAAGGAACAAUGGAGUUCCGGUUUAUACCACCGUGGAAGUGGUUCGGGAAUCUGAGGAGGAUUUCUUGGUUGCAAAAGGUUCUUGAGAACCAAAGAUGGAUACAGUUCAACAUAAGUCAUAGGAAUAGGGUCAAAAGAGACCUUCUUCCUCUCGAAGUUUUGUUGUUAUUGAUGAUUGUUGGUAUUGUUGUUGUUGUAGGUGUUUGAAUCUUUGUUGUGGUUGUUGUUGACGUUGUUGUUGAAUUGGUGUUGACUGAUUAUUAGAAAAUACCGGAAUGACAGAUGAUACUUGAUGAUGAUGUUGAUGGGAUUGUUGACUGCUUCUGACAUGAGGUAUCCUCUGCCUCCCAACAGAUAUUGCAUUAGUCUCAACUUCCUUCUUCUUAGCAAAACUGUUACCAUAUGUCUUGCUUAAAGGUGCCUCCUCUCUAGAUAACCGUCCCUCACAGACACCUUCUUCUAGUCUCAUCCCCAUGUUUACCAUUUCGGUAAAAUCACUGGGGGCACUGGAAAUCAUGCGCUCAUAGUAAAAUGAGCUCAGGGUUUUGAGGAAAAUCUUGGCCAUCUCCUUCUCUUCCAAAGGAGGGGUAAUCUGAGCGGCAAGCUCUCUCCAUCACUGAGCGUACUUUUUAAACGUCUCGUUAUCCUUCUGAGACAAUGACCUGAACUGGUACCUAUUCGACGCCAUAUCCAUAUUAUAUUUGUAUUGCUUCACAAAUGCUUCACCUAAAUCGUUGAAUGUACGGACACUCACACUAUCCAAACCCAUGUACCACCUCAGAGUGGCACCAGUCAGACUGUCUUGGAAAUAAUGAAUUAGUAAUUGAUCAUUAUCAGUUUGCAUCAAUAUCUUUCUAGCACACAUGGCGAUAUGACUGAGCGAACAAGUAUUCCCCUUAUACUUUUCGAAGUCAGGGACUUUGAACUUCAUCGAGAUUUUGACAUUAGGAACCAAGCAAAGUUCUGCAACACUCUUACCAAACAGAUUUUUUCCCUUCAAGGUCUUCAACUCCUUUCACAACUCAAAAAAUUGGUCUUUUAUUUCGUCCAUCUUCUCAUAGACAUCCAGACCCUCAGACGACUCAGAAUGAUAGAUGGUGUCCUCAACUCGGGGUAAAGUAUGAACAAUCGGUGGCGGCACAGACAUGACUGGGAUAGAUGCUGGCAUAGAAGCAAAUGUAGGCGUGAGACCCUCAGGCACAAAAUUGGGCGGAAUUCUCCACGGGAAUCCGGAAGGAAUGGUAGGCGCAAAAUGAGCAGUAGCAACAUGAAUGGUAGAGGUAGUAACCUCAGAAAUAAUAGUCCUCUAAGGAGGAGGAUUUGCAGACGUUGGAGAAGAUUGGCUCUGAGCAGCUAACACUGACUCCAUCAUGGCAGUCAGGCGGGCGAUCUCGUCCUUCAAGUCUUUGUUCUCUUGCUCUAGAUGUUCCAUGAUUCUUGAGUGAUUGGCGCGGGUAUUGUAUCGAUGAGUCAGCUUGGCUGAAGCACAUAAGAAUAACCAAUAAAACAUUUGGCAAAAGAGAAAUCUUCUAUGAAAAAUGAUGCAUGAAAUACAAUGCUUGAUUGUUUUUAUUUUCAAGGAGCUUACUAUUUUAUUUGCAAAUAUAUAAUAAUAACAAUUGCAAUAAUUUGAUUGACCAUAAAAAUCUCUUUUAUUCAUAUAAUUUGAAGGAUUACACUGAGUACAAUUUCAGAAACCAAAAAUACAAAAAUACAAGAGAAAAGGAAACUAGUCAUCCUAAGGAUCCCUAACAACAAUGUCAGUGUUGGUGUAAGCCCUAGAGGCCAAUACUUUUGGUACUUGUAUCAAAUUAUUUAUUAAUAAUAAAAGGAUUUUUCUUUAUUAUGGUUGUUUAAUAAAGUCCCUAGAAUAGCUAGUCCGUUUAAUGUACGAUGUAUCAAUGUAUGCAAAUACUUAAUCCAUCGAGAUUCAACAUUAAACAUAAGGACACUAUUCUUAAAGUAUCGUAGUCACGCUUUAUUAUGAAGUGGAUAACAUUAAAGCCGAAGACUAUUUUUAUAGACUGAUGACUCACCACCUCAUGGAUCAUGGAUAAAGCAGUUAUCAAGUCUUAAAUAUUGUGUAUGAAUAUUAAGGUAAUAUCUUAUUACCGGAUUGACGCGCUAUGAGAAUACUAUACUAGAAGUAAUGCAAAGUGUCAUAAGUUUAUUUCAUGGUGAUAAUGGUGUAUACCACUCUUACGACCUGAAACCACUAUGGACCCUAGAUGUAGAGUCGAGUGCUUAUUGCUGAUUCCAACAUUGUUCGAACUGGAUAACCAUAAAGACAGUUGAUGGGUAUCCACAAAGAUGCUACAGGGACAUGAGUGAGCCUUAGAUGAAUUUGGCCCAUCCUGCAUAACAAGAUAAAUGUUCAUGGGCCAAUACUUCGACACUGGACAAGGAUGACACCGGUCUAUGCCUUGUGUUUCAAUAUAGUACAACGGGGCAAAAAGAUAAUUAUACACACAUAAUUAUUAUCACAAAAGGAUUUGUCAGCAAUCACAUGAAAUUUUCGUGUCUUGGUAAGCAGUGCAUGUGUUUUGCUAGAUACGCGCUCGACUUGUUUUACUUAUGUUUAACUGCUGAUUUUAAUAUACAUUGCAACGUCGCGAAACAACCUACAAGGUCUCACACAAAGGACGGAUUGAUCGAAGAGAUAGAGUAACUAAGGAACAAAUGUAGGGACGUGUGCACUUAAUGAAAUACGAAAUAUGGUAAGGUCACAGCUUAAGUGAUUUUGGGCAUAUCUACAUCAACGCACUCUGCCAAAAAUACACUUAAGUACUGCGGCUUUUAGCUUAAAGCCACCACAAGUGGUUCAUAAAUAGAACCUUGGUAAGACGCAUUUGUAACUCUAAUUGGAAUUUCGUUUCCUCUCUCUCCUCUCUCCACUCAACAGCCUUCAAUUCUCACAGCUAGAACUGAGAUUGAAGGAAUCCGUCGUGUGGAUUGAGAUGAGACUUGUCACCGUUUCAACCGUUCGUGAUCGCCAGACAGAGGUAACGAUUNNNNNNNNNNNNNNNNNNNNNNNNNNNNNNNNNNNNNNNNNNNNNNNNNNNNNNNNNNNNNNNNNNNNNNNNNNNNNNNNNNNNNNNNNNNNNNNNNNNNNNNNNNNNNNNNNNNNNNNNNNNNNNNNNNNNNNNNNNNNNNNNNNNNNNNNNNNNNNNNNNNNNNNNNNNNNNNNNNNNNNNNNNNNNNNNNNNNNNNNNNNNNNNNNNNNNNNNNNNNNNNNNNNNNNNNNNNNNNNNNNNNNNNNNNNNNNNNNNNNNNNNNNNNNNNNNNNNNNNNNNNNNNNNNNNNNNNNNNNNNNNNNNNNNNNNNNNNNNNNNNNNNNNNNNNNNNNNNNNNNNNNNNNNNNNNNNNNNNNNNNNNNNNNNNNNNNNNNNNNNNNNNNNNNNNNNNNNNNNNNNNNNNNNNNNNNNNNNNNNNNNNNNNNNNNNNNNNNNNNNNNNNNNNNNNNNNNNNNNNNNNNNNNNNNNNNNNNNNNNNNNNNNNNNNNNNNNNNNNNNNNNNNNNNNNNNNNNNNNNNNNNNNNNNNNNNNNNNNNNNNNNNNNNNNNNNNNNNNNNNNNNNNNNNNNNNNNNNNNNNNNNNNNNNNNNNNNNNNNNNNNNNNNNNNNNNNNNNNNNNNNNNNNNNNNNNNNUUACGAAACCAUGAAUCUGAUAAUUGUUUAUUUUCUGUAUUAAUACGAUUAAAGACAGAAUGAAUCAAAGAUUAAAUUGAGAUCGAUCAAGUUAUAUAUAUGAUAUAAGUAAUCCUGAUGCAAAAUACAUUAUAUAUGAUAUAGUGUUCUCGUUUUGUUCAUUCAAACACUCAAUGGUUGUUUUCCUUUGAGCGAUCAAUGGUCGUUUGCUUCUUGAUCCGACAUUAGUAUGGUGAAGCAAUGACGUGUUGAUCAGUCAUACUGAAUCAACAAUCGAGAUGUGUUUGACGGUCUGAAAUUUGUGCAUCAGGGUUAGUGACGGCACAAGGGUUGUGUUGUCAGAGAGUUAUGCGAUUGGGGUUGUGACUGCACAAGAGUUGUGCUUUCUAAACACUUUUUUGAACAGUGUUAACCGGUUAAUGCAUAUGGUUAACCGGUUAACGCAAGAUGAAAUAUUGCCUUCUAAGAGAUUUUCAAACAGUGUUAACCGGUUAACGCAUUUGGUUAACCGGUUAACGCAAGAAGGAAUACAGUUUUCUAAGAGAUUUUCAAACAGUGUUACCUGGUUAACGCAUUUGGUUAACCGGUUAACGCAAGACAGAAUAUAAAUUAUGAACAGAUUUUCAAACAGUGUUAACCGGUUAACACAUAUGGUUAACCGGUUAACGCAAGGCAAAAUUCACCCGUUCGGCUAACUCUGCGUAAUGUGAUCGGUCGUCGAGAUUUAAUUUGGUUUUAAUUGAUUAAAAGAAUUAAAAUUGAUAAUAAUAAUGUGUUUAUUAUUGUCUUGUGGUGAUCGGUUAUGGCCUUAGUUUUCCUUUAUUUUGUUUUGGGUUUUAAAAUACGACCUGCGUGUCGUGCCUCUCUUUUAAUCUCUCAAUGUAACUUCUUUUCUCAUCUCACUCCCUCGUAUGUAAAACGAGUUUCUUUUAUGUAAUGUAAUGAUAUGAAGAAAGCAAAGAAGUCAGUGCCAAAGGAGGACAACCUUGAAGAUCUUGCUUGGAGAAGCUUAGAUCGUUGUUAGGUUAGCUUAGGUUCUCUCAUUGGCUUGGGAGAACAAUUGCGCUAGGGGCCAUAACUGUUUCAUUAUGUAUGUAUGUAUGUUGAUGCAUGUGAAUGUAUGUUGAUGCAUGUGAGAGACGAUUUAUAUGAUAAAUAAGCCGGUGAGAUCAGAAUAAUUGCAAAUUCCCUCAAAUUAAAUAUUAAGUUUAUGCUUUCCAAGUUUUAACACUCAUCAAGACUAGUAUCGGAUAAUGUAGGUUUCGCCUACGCGAGGUGCAUGUUCUAUAUUAGUAAGGUGCGAUGGGAUAAUUGUAAUAUCCAACUGCUAAAACAAUGGGUCAAACUUAACUAAACAAAUUAUAAUGAUAUUAUAUAUGCUUGCUUUCCAAGUUUUAGCACUCAUCAAGACUAGUAUCGGAUAAUGUAGGUUUCGCCAAAGCGAGGUGCAUGUUCUAUAUUAGUAAGGUGCGAUGGGAUAAUUGUAAUAUCCAACUGCUAAAACAAUGGGUCAAACUUAACUAAACAAAUUAUGAUGAUAUUAUAUAUGCUUGCUUUCCAAGUUUUAGCACUCAUCAAGACUAGUAUCGGAUAAUGUAGGUUUCGCCAAAGCGAGGUGCAUGUUCUAUAUUAGUAAGGUGCGAUGGGAUAAUUGUAAUAUCCAACUGCUAAAACAAUGGGUCAAACUUAACUAAACAAAUUAUGAUGAUAUUAUAUAUGUUUGCUUUCCAAGUUUUAGCACUCAUCAAGACUAGUAUCGGAUAAUGUAGGUUUCGCCAAAGCGAGGUGCAUGUUCUAUAUUAGUAAGGUGCGAUGGGAUAAUUGUAAUAUCCAACUGCUAAAACAAUGGGUCAAACUUAACUAAACAAAUUAUGAUGAUAUUAUAUAUGUUUGCUUUCCAAGUUUUAGCACUCAUCAAGACUAGUAUCGGAUAAUGUAGGUUUCGCCAAAGCGAGGUGCAUGUUCUAUAUUAGUAAGGUGCGAUGGGAUAAUUGUAAUAUCCAACUGCUAAAACAAUGGGUCAAACUUAACUAAACAAAUUAUGAUGAUAUUAUAUAUGCUUGCUUUCCAAGUUUUAGCACUCAUCAAGACUAGUAUCGGAUAAUGUAGGUUUCGCCAAAGCGAGGUGCAUGUUCUAUAUUAGUAAGGUGCGAUGGGAUAAUUGUAAUAUCCAACUGCUAAAACAAUGGGUCAAACUUAACUAAACAAAUUAUGAUGAUAUUAUAUAUGCUUGCUUUCCAAGUUUUAGCACUCAUCAAGACUAGUAUCGGAUAAUGUAGGUUUCGCCAAAGCGAGGUGCAUGUUCUAUAUUAGUAAGGUGCGAUGGGAUAAUUGUAAUAUCCAACUGCUAAAACAAUGGGUCAAACUUAACUAAACAAAUUAUGAUGAUAUUAUAUAUGCUUGCUUUCCAAGUUUUAGCACUCAUCAAGACUAGUAUCGGAUAAUGUAGGUUUCGCCAAAGCGAGGUGCAUGUUCUAUAUUAGUAAGGUGCGAUGGGAUAAUUGUAAUAUCCAACUGCUAAAACAAUGGGUCAAACUUAACUAAACAAAUUAUGAUGAUAUUAUAUAUGUUUGCUUUCCAAGUUUUAGCACUCAUCAAGACUAGUAUCGGAUAAUGUAGGUUUCGCCAAAGCGAGGUGCAUGUUCUAUAUUAGUAAGGUGCGAUGGGAUAAUUGUAAUAUCCAACUGCUAAAACAAUGGGUCAAACUUAAUUAUAAUUUUCUUAUAUAUGUUUUAGAAGCAAGAGUUGGGAAUGAUCCAUAUGAUGGAUUGGAAUAAGGAGUUAUUCACCCAACUGAAAUUUUCGAGAGUUGUAUGAGAUACAACUGGAAGGAGUUCCUACCUAAAUAACCUAGUUUUGUGUAAUCCGCCUACGCGGACUUAGAACGAAGUGAAAUAUGGAUCUCGACCCACUAGAAAAUCUUCCAACGGGAUUUUCCGAAUCAAAUGAUGAGGGUCAUUUGUUUUGAGUAAAAUAGUGGGAGCAUAUUUGAAUAAAGGCCUAAUUAAAUAUGUCAAUGAUACUUAUAUUUUCUUAAUCCUUAUGUAGAUAACCAUGACAGCAAACACCUCUAACAACAUCUUGCGAUCAAUCCUUGACAAGGAAAAAUUGUCUGGGACAAAUUUUCUGGAUUGGCACCGAAACCUGAGGAUUAUCCUCAAACAUGAUAAAAAGUUGUAUGUCUUGGAGACACCUGUUCCUGAAGAGGAACCUCCUAGUUCUGCACCUAAGGCAGAAAGAGAUGCUUAUAAGAAGCAUGUCGAUGAUGCCAAUGAAACUGCUUGUCUCAUGCUGGCUACCAUGAACUCAGAAUUGCAAAAGCAACAUGAGAACAUGUCAGCGUUCGAUAUGAUCGAACACCUGAAGCUGCUCUAUCAAGAGCAAGCAAGGCAUGAGAGGUUUGAAGUUUCAAAAGCCCUUUUUCAAAGCAAGUUAGCUGAGGGAGCCCCUGUAGGUCCCCAUGUACUCAAGAUGAUUGGGUAUGUGGAAAACCUUGAGAGAUUGGGUUUUCCCCUCGAAAAGGAACUUGCAACUGAUUUGAUCUUGCAAUCGUUGCCAGAUAGUUUCAGUCAAUUUGUCCUAAAUUUCAAUAUGAUUGAUAUGGACAAAUCUCUUCCUGAACUGCUCGCCAUGUUAAGAACUGCCGAGCAGAAUCUGAAGUCAAAAGGGAAGUCCAUUCUGAUGAUCGGAAAUGGAAAGAGACAGAACAAAAGGCCCACUAAGCAGGGUGAUAAAGGGAAAGGCAAGGAAGUUGCCAAACCCAAACCCACCGUUGCUGCUUUAAAGCCUAGUGGAGGCAUAGCAAAAGAAGGCACCUGCUUCCAUUGCGGUAAGACCGGACACUGGAAGAGGAACUGCCCAAAGUACCUGGAAGAUAAGAAGAAUGGAGUAGAGACUUCAACUUCAGGUAUUUUUGUUAUUAAUUUAUCUACUUCUGCAUCAUGGGUAUUAGAUACUGGAUGCGGUUCUCACAUUUGUACAAAUGUGCAGGGGCUAAAAAGGAGUAGAGAUUUGGCAAAAGGUGAAGUUGACCUACGAGUUGGCAAUGGAGCAAAGGUUGCUGCUUUAGCCGUAGGAACUUAUGUAUUGACUUUACCUAGUGGUUUAAUAAUUCAGUUAGAGAACUGUUAUUAUGUACCUGCAAUUAGCAGGAAUAUUAUUUCCAUUUCUUGUUUGGACAAGUUUGGUUUUUCAUUUAUAAUAAAGAACAAUUGUUGCUCAAUUUAUUUGAAUGAUAUAUUCUAUGCUACUGCACAAAUGAACAAUGGACUAUAUGUCCUUGAUCUUGAAAUGCCUAUUUAUAACAUUAAUACUAAAAGGAUGAAACCUAAUGAGUUAAAUCCAACUUACCUUUGGCAUUGUCGAUUAGGCCACAUAAAUGAGAAACGCAUUUCCAAACUCCAUAAAGAUGGACUCUUGGACUCUUUUGAUUAUGAAUCAUAUGAGACAUGCAGAUCUUGUUUAAUUGGAAAGAUGACAAAGUCUCCAUUCACAGGAAAAGGUGAAAGAGCUAAUGAUCUUUUGGCCCUCAUACAUACUGAUGUAUGUGGACCACUGAACAUACCAGCCAGAGGAGGUUUUCAGUACUUCAUCACAUUCACUGAUGAUUUCAGUAGAUAUGGUUAUGUGUAUUUAAUGAAACACAAAUCAGAGUCCUUUGAAAAGUUCAAGGAAUUCAAGAAUGAAGUACAAAACCAACUAGGUAAGAAUAUUAAAACUCUUCGAUCAAAUUGAGGUGGUGAGUAUUUAAGCCUAGAGUUUGAUGACCAUCUGAAAGAGUGUGGGAUCCUAUCCCAACUUACUCCUCCUGGAACACCCCAAUGGAAUGGUGUAUCUGAGAGAAGAAAUCGAACCCUGUUGGACAUGGUCUGAUCCAUGAUGAGUCACGCCGAUCUUCCAAACUCCUUUUGGGGACAUGCAUUAUUGACAGCAACUUACACACUUAACCGUGUUCCAUCCAAAAAGGUUGAGAAGACACCAUAUGAGAUACGGAGUGGUAAGAAACCACAUAUGUCUUACAUGAAGAUAUGGGGUUGCGAAGUUUAUAUGAAACGACAAAUUUCAACUAAGCUUGAGCCCAAAUCUGACAAAUGCUUAUUUAAGGGGUAUGUAACACCUCAAAAUUUGCCCUCCUCUCUUGGGGCUAGCUUAGCAUAUUGCAUUUCAUUUUUUAGGGUAUUAGGCAUUACAUCUUUGCAUAUCAUGUGGAAACAAUGAGCAAGUCAUCCUCCUAGGUCUUUCUCAGAAGAUGGAGAGGGUAAGAGAUGCAAGCCUAAGGGUCUCAUGAAUUGAUCACUAGCCAUCGGAGGGUUUGUGCUUCAAUUAGGGUUUUCUUGGUUCCUUAAGGAGAUGGGGUAUUAUCUUGGUUGAAAUGGUGCAUCAUCAUCAUCAUAGUUCAUUAUUCCUGAUCAGAUUCCUUGGGAUUAGGGUUUUGACCUCUGGUCAACCCUAAUCAGUUGCAUUAUGCCAAUCGGGGUUUUUCAAGGAGAUGAGGGUUUUAUUGAGAUGGGGAUCAUCAUAUGAUUUUAUUGAGCUUGUAUAAGCUAGGGUUUCAUUUUGGAGCCAUUUCAUCAAGAGAUUGAGGCUCAAAUUCAUCUGUGCAUGGCCAAGUCAUCUAUCAACUGCAAAAGUCAACUGCAUGGUCAACUGUUGGAUUUGGAGGUGGGAAGUGAUUAGAAAUACUUCAUUCAUGUUCUACAAGUUAUGGUGAUUUAAAGUUUCAUGUGCAAAACUUGAAUUGUUCGAUUCUCUUUGGAUAUGAUGUUUUAGGCUUAGUUAAUAGUUGAUUCUUGAUCUAUGAUGAAAGAUCUUCAUGUACAUGUGCUCAAUUUUGAAAACUGGGAGAAAUGUUCUUGAGUGAUGAUGAAGGUCACUGUUCAUGGCCGCGCGCAUGAAGAAGAUGAUUCAGAGGUUUUGGCAACGGUUUUUUUUUGAUUCCAAAGCGUGGCCUUUGUGUUUCGCUAGGGCUUGGCUCCCAUUGGCUGCAUGAGAUUGCCAUGCAGCGCGCGCCAAUUCCUUUUUUAAAAUUGUACCAAGUUCGAAUCCCUGCCAUGUACACAUUCAAAUGCUUCAUUUCAUUUUCUCUAUUAUUUCCAUGCUUUGCUUCAUUACUUUUUUUUAUUUUUUUUUCAUCUUUAAAAAAUCAAAACAAAUUAAAUAAUGAUCCAAAAAUUGUGUGGUUUUUUGCAUUAUAUCACAUUUUUUGUCUAGUUUUUUAUGAAUAUUAUUUUGCAAAUUGUGCAUGGCUGGUUUAUUUUUUGUGCUAGGGUUUGUGUAUACAUGUCCUUUCUUGACCUUGCCUUGCUUCUUCAUUUGUGAAAUGUUUAUUUUUUGUCUAGUUUUUUAUGAAUAUUAUUUUGCAAAUUGUGCAUGGCUGGUUUAUUUUUUGUGCUAGGGUUUGUGUAUACAUGUCCUUUCUUGACCUUGCCUUGCUUCUUCAUUUGUGAAAUGUUAAAUUUUAAUCCAAUGCUCAUGAAAGUUUGCAUGUUGAAACUAUACAUCUUGCUGGACAUUGUGGUGUUGAGUUUGCAUUUUUAUCAAUUGCCAUUGCUGAUUUAUGAUUUUUCUAAGUUAGGUGUGACAAUUUGUGUCACACCUUGUGAUGUCCAACAUGAUUAAUGAAUUUUCCAUGCCAAAUGAAUUCCAAAUGCCUUGAUUUUUUGUAUAAUGCUUGAUACGCAUGUUGUGAAUGCUCAUGAUUUAUUGUGGAAAUUUUGGAAUCAUUUCUGAUUUAAUUAAGAUUUUUCAUUCUGGAUGGUCACAUGUGAACUUUUGUAUUGCCUUGAUUUUCAUUUGAUUCAUGAAAUGCUUGUGGUUUAUCCAAUGGAUGUGAAACUUUGCACAUUAUUUCUAGACAUGUUGAAUGGUGUUUUGGCUUUGGUUUGAGGUUUUUACCAAUUACCAUUUCUGUUUUAGGCUUGUGCUAAGUUGGUGUACCAAGUUGUGUCACAUAUGUGCUUGAUUGUGCUUGCCUUGACUUAUGCAAUUUGAUUACCAUGCCUAAUGUUGUCCAAUUGCCCUAAUUUUUUUGUGUUGAUCAUAUUGUAUGUUCUGUUUACCCAUGAAUUUUCUCAAAAGUAUUUGAAUCAUUUUUGAAUUAAUGUGCAUUUGUUCAUUCUGUUGUCACAAUGUGCUUUCAACUUGCAUACCUUGCCAUGUUUGGUUCAUGAAAUGAAAUUGGUGAAUGAUAUUGAGAUGAGACCUUUUGGAUUGUGUUCAUAAUUGAUUGAGGUUGAUUCAUGUUGAAUUUCAUGUUCUGUUUUGAAUUUUUUCUCCCUCUUUGACCCUAGGCCUUGACCUAGUGGUUGGUUGCUUAUGUUUGAGCUUUGAUUUCAGGUUGAGCACUCAAGUUCCAUAGUUGUUGGUGCUCUAUCACUUGAGCCUUUGAUGUUUACUUUUGACUACUAACCUUGUGUGUUUUGUAGGGUUGUUAACUCAUUUGAGUUUGACUUGUUGGCUUAUGCCUUUGCUCAUUGGGUUUGACUAUUUGAUAUUCAUGAUUGUCUGUUUGUCUGUANNNNNNNNNNNNNNNNNNNNNNNNNNNNNNNNNNNNNNNNNNNNNNNNNNNNNNNNNNNNNNNNNNNNNNNNNNNNNNNNNNNNNNNNNNNNNNNNNNNNNNNNNNNNNNNNNNNNNNNNNNNNNNNNNNNNNNNNNNNNNNNNNNNNNNNNNNNNNNNNNNNNNNNNNNNNNNNNNNNNNNNNNNNNNNNNNNNNNNNNNNNNNNNNNNNNNNNNNNNNNNNNNNNNNNNNNNNNNNNNNNNNNNNNNNNNNNNNNNNNNNNNNNNNNNNNNNNNNNNNNNNNNNNNNNNNNNNNNNNNNNNNNNNNNNNNNNNNNNNNNNNNNNNNNNNNNNNNNNNNNNNNNNNNNNNNNNNNNNNNNNNNNNNNNNNNNNNNNNNNNNNNNNNNNNNNNNNNNNNNNNNNNNNNNNNNNNNNNNNNNNNNNNNNNNNNNNNNNNNNNNNNNNNNNGUGGAUUACAUGAUAACUAUUAGGCUCGAGUCAGUCUCCCUUCUAGUUUGUCAUUUCCCAGUCUCUGGUUAGGAGAAAGUUUCUCCCCUGUUAAGGGGAACUACGUUGCCCUGAUCCUCAUACCAGAUGAGGUACGUAGGCAGGAGAUCGUACGAGAUCUCUCAGGGCACCCUUUUUCUUUUUGUGUGUGUUUGCUUGACAGCUAGCAGGCUCGAGUACCAGACUCCCUGUUAGCUUGUUUGUUCGACAUUGUUGUUGCUUUUGACGAUUCAGCGUCCGGUUAAACCUUUUGUGUGUGUAGGAGUCUGACGUAAGUCCAGCGAUUGGCAGUUGGUUUCCUGUGUGCGUUUGUUGGUUCGGAGUCUGAUGUAAGUCCAGUGAUUGGCAUUCGGUUUCCAUGUUUUCCUGUUUGUGUGGAGUCUGACGUAAGCCCAGCGAUUGGCAGUCGGUUUCCUGUGUGUGGGUUUUGUUUCGGCGUGCGUGAGCCGAACUACGGUAGCUCUGAUUCUCAUUCCAGAUGAGAUAUGUAGGCAUAGGAUGCGAUAUCCUAGCGAGCCCAUUCCCCCUUUUUCCCAUCUGUGUUGUUUCUAGUGUGUGUGUGUGCAUUCUUUUGAGCAGUGUUUAACAACCUUUCUUCUAUUCUUUUGAGCGUGGAUCCCGUCGAGUACAACAGAUGCGUAGGGGUGCUAAUACCUUCCCUUCGCAUAACCGACUCCCGAUCCCAUCUCUCUUUGGUCACGAGACCAUGUCUUUUCCAGGUUUACUUCGAGCGUUUCCUUUCCCUCUUUGGGAUAAAUAACGCACGGUGGCGGCUCUGUUUGUUUUGUUUUUCCCGCCGGUUGUUUUUCGCGGAUGCGACAGCUGGCGACUCUGCUGGGGACUUGAGAAGUUGACCUUUCUGCUGGUCCAUCUUCCCUAAGCGAGUCACUCCUAGCGCUCUCUAGGAUAGGGUUUAGGUUGCUUGUG
rnacentral:lncRNA from 1 species